rnacentral:lncRNA from 1 species
GCUGACAUGAGCGACAGCUCCCCGGCAAGAACAGCAGACGCUACAAUGGUUGCCAGCGUCCUAGAGUUUGCUCCUGGUGUCUCUUUGCUUGCACCCUUCACUCCAAGUAAGUUCAAACAGGCUGACUGAGAUGCAAGCUGUGUUCCACCACCAACGGUACCAACCUAAAAGAUACAGCAACAAUUAUAAUUAGGGACAUACAUAAAUACCCCGAUUCUGUUUUGGUAAUGAAAAUCCUUGUGAUGGAUAAUCAGAAGGCAACAUAAUCAAUUACCUCGAUGGAAGGCAUUGUGACAGAGAUGUGGAGGUCCUUGCCCUCGUUAACAGCUUCCAUCAUAGUGAUGCAAUGAGAGCUCUCCACAUUUUGAGCCGGAUCUUGGCCCGUAGCUAAGUAGAUUGCAGUGACGAUGUUACUGGCGUGGGCAUUGAAUCCACCCAGAGCUCCAGCCAUAGCUGAUCCAGUAAGGUUCUUGAGCAUGUUAAGCUCAACGAGAGAUUCCACACUUGUCUUCAAGACCUUCUUAAUCACAUCACCCUUAAUGAUGGCUUCGCAAACAACAGAUUUGCCUCGUCCUUCAAUCCAAUUUACAGCCGCUGGUUUUUUGUCGGAACAAAAAUUUCCUAUAUGGGCAAAUUCAUAAAUUUCAGUAAUCCUAUAUAGAACAGUAAAAACAUAGAAAGAACACAAUUACAAGUCAAAAAGUGAAACUCACCAGAGAUGCCAAUGACAUCCAUGUCAGGGAAAUCAGUUUGAAGGAAAUCCAAAACGUUUUGGACUCCCUUGGAAACCAUGUUCAUCCCCAUAGCAUCACCUGUACUGCAAGUGAAUCUAAUAUACAGAUUCUUUCCAGCAAUUGCACAUUUGAUACCUUGAAGCCUGCCAAACCUACUUGAUCUGCAACCACCAAAGAGUCAAAAUUUUCAAUAUUAGCUUGAAUUUUAAAUCCAUCAAUAUGGAGUUCUAGAAAUAUCAAAACAAACCUGUUGAAAACAACAGACAAGGUCUCGAAAUUAUCAGGGUCCUCCAAAUACAACUUCAAAUCAGCUGCCCUUUUCGCAGUACCGAACCUUACACAUGGAGCUCUAGUCAUACCAUCUUUCAAUAGAACACUUGUAGCUCCACCAGACAAAUGAAUAGCCUUACAGCCCCUAUUAGUGCUAGCCACCAAGCACCCUUCCGUGGUAGCCAUAGGAACCGAGUACUCUCUUCCAUUAACCAACAAAGGCCCAGCAAUUCCGACGGGAAUUUGCACGUAGCCAACCGGCAUCUCACAACACUGCCCUAAAAUCGACUCGUAAUCUAACCCAUCCAAGGGCAAUCCUGAUAAUGACUUCCCUGUUAAUCUUUGCAACGCUUCCCGCCUGAUUGCAGCCGCCCUCUUGCAAUCACCCAAUUUCGAUUCCAAGGAAUACGAAGGGGUUGUUCCAUCCACUACAGAUUUAAUUAGUUCUUCAUCUUCCUCCGUUGUAACCGUCACAGGCUGUUCAUCGAACACCUUCUGGGGAGUCACGAUUGGUGCGGCAGGAGGCAGAGGUGGAAGCGAGCAAUCGAGAGCUUGUCCACAAGGGACCUUACGGGUGUCUUCCUUUGCGAGCAGAACUUCAUUAUCGUCUUCCUCGUCCUCGGCAACCCAAACGUCAGGCGAUGGUUGGAAAACCAAGGAUUGAACGAAGUCAAUCCCAAAGAAACCCAAAAGGUAAAUAAAGGACGCGAAAAAUGAGAGAAGGGCGAUGAUGUCGGAAAAGGUGACGACAUGGAGAGCUGUGGAGGUACGGAUCUUCUCACGCCAACGGGAAAGAAGGAAAUAAACCACCGAGAAGAAGAGGGUGAAGAACAGGGCAUUCGUUAGGUGCAAGGGAAGCGGCAAUGCGUCUGAGGCUUUACCGUGAUCUUCCUCUAAAGGAAUCUUCUUCGUUGGCUUGAGAGAUUGAACAGGUUUAGUCGAAUACAGCCGGGGAGCCUCCAUACUGGGUGUCGACGGCAGCGGAAGCCCGGCAGUGGAGAAGGAGAAUAGAAGAGGAAUGGAAGUGAGAGAGGAUUUCAGUUAGUUUUACGAUUAUGGGGGUAGGUGCAGUUUGAGAUAUUGGAGUUUAGGGAGGGAAGGGGAUUAUUUAUAGGAUAGAGAAAAGAGUAGAGAGAGCGUAGUGUUUGGCACGUGUUAGUGCGGAGCUUUACCAAGUGACGAGUCAAAGAAAGAAUUUCAAGGGAAGUGUUUGGAAGCGUGCGUGCAGUGCAUGUGCAUGGUGGGGCAUUGCAUUUUCCUUUCAUUUGUUCUUUUCUCCUGCCAAAUUAUGAGAAUUUGGAGACGAUGCUGAUUUUAAAAAUAUAUUCAGGAAAAUUUACAAUUUUUUUUCUGAUAUUUCGAAAAAUAAACUGAUUUUGAAAAACCUAAUAAUAAGCUUAUUUUGUAGAAAGUGUUUUUUUUUCUUCUCGUAGGAUUACUUUUUAACUUUUUAAAUAUAUUGGUUCAUUUUGUUAGAUGAUUAAAUGUUAGUAGUUUUAUUCUUGAUUUUCAAGUUCGAUUUCUCUUCUAUUUACAUUUGUAUUUUUAUUUCAUAUUGUUUCAAGCUUUGCUUUAAUACAUUAGCUCCUCUUAUUAGAUACUUAAACAAUAGUGAUUUUAUCCUUUUAAGUCUUAGCUUCGAAUUUUCUUUUAAACACAAUUGUAUUUUUUUGUUUCACAUUGAAGUUUUUUAUUUAUUUAUUUUUAAUUAAUAAUUCUUUUAUUUAUAAAAUAAAAUAAUUAUUUCAAAUUAUAUAAUAUAAAUUAUAUUUUGAUGAAAUUGAUAUUUAUCAUUAUGUUAAAUAUAUUUUAUUUUUUAAAAGCAACAACUAUUUUGUUAUAUUUUUUUUAUAUAAAAUAUUUAGUUUCUCCACAUAUAUUGUGGGUAUGAUGAUUUCUAAUAUUAUAAAAUCAAUCAAUUAUUUCAAAUAUUAUUAUUUUUUCAUGUGCAUCGUGGGUAUGAUAUUUCAAAUAAUUUUAUAUGUUAAAUAUUUCAAUUAAUUAUUUUAAAUACAUAUACAAAGAUAUAUAAUACUAAAAUUUACUAUAUUCAUGAUAUGGAUUGAAAAAUAAACAUUACACAUAUAAAAAUUAUAUUUACUAAAGAUAAUGAUAUUUGACAAUAAUUAUUUGAUAUUUUAAAUAAAAUAAUUAUUAAUUAAAAAGAUAAAUAAAAAAACUUGAAAACAAUAUAUUUAUUAAUUAAAAAUAAAAAAAUUUGAAACAACAUGAAAUAAAAAAAAAGUACAAACUUUCUUAGAAGAGGAAUCAAACCUAAGACUUAAUGAUAAAAUCACUAUUAUUUAAUCAUAUAUACAAGGUAAAAUAAAAAUACAAACGUGAGUAAGAGAAUAAUUUAACCCAGAAUUAAUGAUAAAACCAUUAAUAUUUAAUUAUCUGACUAAAUAAAUUGAUAUAUUAAAAGAGUUAAAAGAACACGCGGUAUAAAAAGCGUUUGUUUUUUUAUUUGUUUCUCCAAAUUUAAACCUGCUAUUUUGAUAUUUUCUGUCACUUAUUUAGCAUUAUUCUGUCUUUAAAUUAUUCCUAAUUUUGGCUUGUUUUUCAUUAAUUAAUUCAAAAAGUUUAUUAUGAAUGUAUUUAAUAAAAAAGAAAUCUGGAGGUUUUUCUUUUUGCUCAUGAUUAAUUGGAUAAGUUUACAUUUUUACAAAAAACACAUUAAGACAAAGUCAGAGUGAAAAAAAUAAUUAAGCAAGAAAAAUUCAGAAAAAAAUUGACUCUUUAAUAAAAAAAUGUAAAGAUUUAUUUGUUUUAUUAUUGAAAAGAAAAUGCCAUUCUCAAUUAAUAUCAGUAAUAGUCAAAUUAAUUGGGACCAUUUUUCUUUGUCCUAAUUGGGACUAUUUUUUUUUCGCAUGUUUAUUUCAUGUUAUUUUUUAACAAAACUAAAGAAAAAAAAUUGACCAAUCUGAAUUCAAAAUAUAAUUAAAUUUUUUUAUAAAUACUUAUUAAAUUAAAGUCCAAAUUUGACGUUUAUAAUAUUUUAAUAUGCUCAAAUGAUGACUUUUUUAUAUUAAAUAAAAUCUAAUCCACAUUUUACCCCCUUCCUUAAAUUUCAGUCAGUCAAAUCACAUUAAAUUCAAAAUAGGAUGCAUAAUUAUUUAUUAUAUAUACAAGUGAUUGCAAUUUACAUGCAUAUAUGUAUAAUAUUAGUUCAUGCAGUCACCAAUAGUUGAAUAUUAACAUUUACAAUUAUUUCACUCAUUGCAAUGAGUCAAAAAACUAGUGCUUUGCCCUUUUCUUUUUCCCGAUAAAAUGUAUUAUAUAUAUAUUAGCAAUGCAAAGUAGAUAAUCUCAUAUUAAUCGAGAAAAGAUUUUUAAGAGGAUUUAAAUACAGUUUUACCUUUUAAUAUCAUUAUUAUUAAAGCUAAAGGUUUAACACAUAUGUGUUGUCAUCUCCUGCUUGACUCAGUUUGUGUUUACUAUAUGUAUUGUGUGUCUUACUAUUGUAGAAUAUUCUCAAUAGAGGAGGAAAAUCAUCUAUUAUUUUUAAAAAUUGAAAUUGUUAUUUUACUAUUUUAUUUUAUUUUAGUGUUUAAUGUACCUCCCACGAUAGUACAAGAAAAAUAAUAUGAAAUAGACGAUAAGAUUGAAGUAAUUUUCUUUUUCCAAAAUAAAAAGCAUGCAUGAGAAUUAUUCAUCACCAUGUGCUAAAGACUUGGACUGUUUAUCAAAUUUUUCUUCAAAAAAUCAUAUAAUUCGUAAUGAAAGUAUAUAUAUAUAUAAACAUAGUCAGGCCAACCAAUGUAGAAAAAAAACUAUCAUGAUAUCAUCUUUUCUUAUUGCCCAGUAUUUAUUUAGCAAAUAUUGACUGUAAUAUUGUCAUGAUUAGACCAUAUUAUUUUUGGACAAGAACAAGGUCAUUUCCACACAGGAAGAAGUGCAGUCCAUGCUCAUAGCCUGCUUAUGCAUUUACAGAAAAAAAAAAGGAAUUUAGGUAAAAUUUGAUGUUAAUAUUUCAGUGAAUAUUAAAUAGUUGUAUAUGAUAUUGAUAUUAUAGGUAGAUGAAUUGAGUUUAAGACGGUUCAACCUAUAAAUACCUUUAGCAUGUUUAUGUAAGGAAAAUAAUAUAGUUUUUUUACGAGUUUUUUAAUGAAGGAUAUUAUACCUUAAUUUCAUAUAAUAUAUGUGUAUUUAUACUAUUGUUUAAGUUUUUGAUUGGGCUAGUGUCACUCACAACCGGGUCACUAAAUUUAGUAGGAAAAUUAUUGAAACAUCCUUUCAUAAUUAAAAUAAGUUGCAUUAUUCGAAGGUAUUUUAGUCUUUUUAUUUUUAAAAAGCAAAUAAAAAUAUGUAUAUGGUGGAAUUUGAAUCCAAACUAAUUGGGUUAAAAAAAUAUAUUUAAUUUAUCACUCAACUAAAUUUCUUUAUUUUGAUAUUUUUAUACUUUUUUUAUUUUAUUAUGCAUAAUUUAUUUUAAUACCGUACAUAUUUCAUGUAUUAUUAUGUUUAAUUAGUUUCAAAUCAUACGUUUUAUUAUUUAUUAUUCGUAAACACAUAUUUAUAUUCUAAAUUUGUUGUUUCUACACGUAUAUGUGUGAGAUAAAGUUUCUAAUAUUUAUAAAAUAAUAUAAUCCUUAAAAAAGAAACACAAACUUCUAGGUAAGUGAGGUUUUUACCAAAUGACACAUGUUGGUAAUUGACACUUUUGGGUGGUUAUUGAUGGCAUUGUAAAGUCUUUUGAUCUUAACAUUAUGCAAAUCAAAACCUUAGUAUUGCACAAACAAUGCUUUUUGGAUAUUUAGAAUAAUAUGAUUAUCAUAAGUUUAACAAAUAUCUUAUGCGGAAUUGAAGUUGGUUAUUAGAUUUGACGAAGAACACUUGAUAUAUUGAUUUUUCUCUCUUAACAUUUUUCCUUUAAUUACACAAAUCCUAAGCAAUGAAGGCAAAUUUUUUAUGUAAGUGGAAUUAAUUUAUAAUGAUAAACUUUUAAUAUGAUCAAGUAACCUAAUGAAAUGAUAAAAUUUAAUUUCUAUUAAAGUAAAAUUUUUAGGCCUCAUGAUUUUAGACUUAUUGGGUCCACAUAAUUGGGCUUAAAAUCUUACAUUCUCUCAUUUGGUCUAAUCAGAUAAAACAUAAACUUUAAUAGAACAAUUGUUGAGUGCGCAUAAAAAUAAUAGAAAAUUUGUCAUUAAAAUUUGAUUAGGUUGACCUCAUAUAAUGUGGCAUAUAAUUAACAGAAAAUAAACAUGUUAAAUUGACAAAUUUUGAUAGAAACUACCAACGACAAUAAUAACCAAAUUAGAAUCUUUAAAUUAAAAAGAGAAGAUUGAAAUUUUAACUUUUAAAGUACAAGAACCCAAUCUCAAAUUCAUUACAAGUACAGGGACUAACAACACAUGUUAGCUUCUUCUUUUUUUGAGGUAAAAAAAAUAAUCAAUAUAUGACCAACAUGCAAUAAAAAUUUGUUUUAUUUUAAAUAUUAAAUUACUUUUAUUUUAAUUAAAAUUUUUAAUUUUUUUAAUUUAACAAUUGACCCGAGUGAUAAAGUACUUGCAAAUAAAUAUUUUGUGGGCAAAGAUUUAAUCAUUAAAUAUUACAUUUUUAAUUAUUUCAUUUAAGUAUUUUGUAUAAAAAUAGUAAAAGGCGAAAACAUUAAUACUAUAAUUGUGAGACACCUCACAUGCGAUCCAAUAGUCUAAUCCAAAUUGGCGACAUCACAUUAUAUUGUCAGAGUAACUCAGACUAACUAGAUAAACAAAUAAAUCACGUAUAAUUUCAAUUAAAUCACGUGUACAUGUUUAAUGAAUGUCAAUUGAUCUAGUUUAAAGUAUUUAGGAAUUGUACUUGAUCAAAUAUGGAGUUGGGAUUCGAAUCCAAACUCAUUUAUCCAAAUUUUAUAGGGAGUUUCAAGACAUGACCUUCAUGUCUCGAGACACUAAUAAAAUAUGGUCUACAAUGAACAUUUAAAUGUAUUCAAUCACAAACCAAUUCAUACUUAACUUAAACAAACUUUAUACCAAUUUCACAUGCAUGAAUUUAACAAACAAAUAUAUAACCAAAUAUCCGAACAAUUUAACAAUCAAGUCACCUCAACUUAAUGUAGUUAAAUAAAUGGCUUAAUACUUAUAUCCAUGCAAACUCAUUCAUUACUCAAGCAUUAAAACUCAACAAAAGAAACCUUAUAGGUCCAUAGCUAACCAAAACAUACCAUAUUGACCAAAACAAUAUUUAACUCGAGUUGAAUUAUUGACCUUAGAUGUUUUACAAUUUUAAUCUACUAAAAUCCUGUCCGAGACAUGUGCACAAAAACAAACAUAACUAUACGUUGAGUAUUAAAUACUUAAUGGUGCUAGCAUAAUCUGAAUUCAAAUAUAUAACAUUAAGCAAUUUAAUAUACUAAACGAAAACUUCAUUUAAUAGAUUCAAUGUCAUAAUACUAAGAUGGCAUUCUAGUAUUUCAUUUACCCAAUUUCAUAUGGAGCAACAAUCAUCCCGUAACUUUAUACCAUUUCAUUUAUUCACCCUCAUGGUAUUUAAGUAACAUUUACCUGUGCAAUCAAUUUUCUCCUCGUGAGGCAGGUUCAGACGUCACGAUAUCCAAAACAAUAUUGAAAUUGAAAGUCUUGGGGUCUCAGUGUCAUGAUACCCAUCUUUGGUAUCGCUAUAUCACUAGAGUUGACCUUAAGUUUUUUCACUUCAGCAUUGUCAGGGGUAUCACGACUUUCAUGGCCUCAAUGUCGCGAUACCCAGUUCUGAAUGAUAAUUUCUUCGAGUUCGAGCCAUUAUUGACUUCCUACACCAACUCAAUCAUAUCAUUAGGUCCCUCAUGACACCAUUUGGCCAACUUGGGUCUCAAUAUGGCAUAAAACUAAUAAAAAUCAUUAAUUAAUAACAAAAGCAAAAAAUCGACAAAAGUAAAGAAAAUACACUUAUAUUGCUUGAGAAUAAGUUCCUCGAGUGUAAUGGAAAGCCUAAUUUGACAUAUCAAAUUACGUUAGAUCACUUAUUCGAUACGAGUUCAAACCGUGUUACCCCCUUACCCUACCCCUAAUAUUGUACAAAAAAACUAAUUGCUAAUCUUCUAAUGUAGUCUCUGUACUAUAGUGCUUAAUGAUUUAUAUAAUUUAAUUACUAAAUAAUUUUAUUUCUAAUUUAUCUUUUAUUUUUUUAAUCUCGCACUCACUUUGUAAUUACUCUAUCAAAAUUUUGAACAACUCAAUUUAAUAAAUUCGAUCCCACAAUUAACUUUUUCAACAUAAAAAAAAUCGAAUCAUUACAAUAUUAUAAGAAAAAAACUUUUAAGUAUAGGUGUAGUUAGGAGUCCAUGUUUUUUUAUUUAUUUUUUUUAUAUUAAUCUAGUUUGAAGAAAAAACAAAAUAAUAAAAAGUAGCAAAUUCUAAAAAUAUCAUUUCCUAUAAAAAAAAAGUUGUGAAAUUAAAUUAUUAUCUUGAAAGAUGUUUUGGCGAUAUUAUAAGAAGUAUAAAUCAUGUUUUAAAAUUAUUUUGAUUUAAAUUUCGUCACGUGUAGACCGUAUUGAUCUAUAAUAUGUUUAGUUUGUGCUUUGUUAUUUGUUGGAGUUUUAACCAAAUUUUUUUAGUAAGUGUAGACUAAACUGGUGAACGAAAUAUAUCAUUAGGUACUAAAUGAGUAAAACAUUUUAAAUACCAAAAUAAAAAAUAUAUAAUUCAAGAGCUCAAACAUGAAUAAAGGCUAAUAAAUUUUGUGAUAAUUUUCUCUCACUUACUAUAGGCAAAAAAUUUCAAAAAAGAAAUUAUUUGAUAUAUUAUUUGUCGAAACCACCCUUUUUAUUUAAAAUUUUUAUGUUUAAUGAAAAAUGGGAAUCGACCUUUUGAAAAUAAAAUAUAGAGUCGCCACCAAUCUUUUGUUUUGGUGUGAUCGGAUCACAUAAGAAUUUGGUUAUUUUAAUAAAACAUUUUUGGUUUACUAAAACGACGAUUUUGGUCUACAAACUUUUGAGAAAACGGGUUCAGAGUCGGUUAAGCAUGAGGAAGGAUUAGCACCCUCACUACGCCCAAAAUUGAUACCGAAUCGAUUAAAUGCUGUCCUUAUGUCUAAAAUUUAAAGAUAUUUUUUUGAAAUGUGGUUCUUUUUUGUAAGACUUGAGUAACCCGAGUUGGUUGCAAAAAAUCUUCUUGUUUUGACUUUCGAAAGCUUAUAAUUCGAAAAUUACAAAAGGGUGCCCAACUAUUUGGUCCAACGAAAAACCGAAAUCCAGCACAGUAGGGCGCGAUUCCUCGAAUUUCCAAACAUUGAACAUUGCCUCACCUUAGAAAACACGAGUGAAAUUUCGAAGAGAUAUUCGAUUAUUUUGAACAAACGGGAGAUUACAACCCAACACGAUAGGGCACUAUUCCCUGAAUUGCCAAACACUGGACAUUUCUUUCGUUUUAAAGGGUUUUUAGAAAACGUGAGUGAAAUUCCGAAGGAAUCUCCGAUUGUUUUGAACAAACGAAAAUGCGCAACCCAGCACGAUAGGGCACGAUUUUCGAAUCGCCAAACAUCUAAGAUCACCUUCGUUUUGGGAGGUUUUUUAAUAAACAUGAGUGAAAACCUAAAGGAAUAUCCGAUUGUUUUGAACAAACGAGAAAUCACAACCCAGCACGAUAGGAAAUGAUUCCCGAAUUAUCAAACACCGAGUAUUGGCUUCUUUUUAAAGGAUUUUUAGAAGAAAUGAGUGAAAUUUUGGAGGGAUAUUCGAUUAUUUUGAGCAAACGCGAAAUUGCAACCCAGCAUGUUAGGGCACGAUUCCGCGGAUUGUCAAAAUAUCAAAUCUCAUCUUCGUUUUAAAGAAUUUUAAAUGAAUAAUUAUAAAACUAGCUUAAAAUGUAUUAAUGCAUUUUUGAAAUGAGACGAAUUUAACCAAAAAAAUUUGGGUUUAAAAAAAAACCAUAUUUCAUGAACUAAGUGGAAAACGAUGAUAUGGGGGAAUAUGUGUACACACCAAAACACGACAACGGAAUAGUGAAGGCAAUACAAUUUACUUAACCAACUAACGAGAACUUAAAUGACUAAGCAUAACUAGUUUGGAAAUAUAACUCAAUUUCAACCAUGCAUGGAGAAUAAUUAACAUGACGAUAUGAAACAAAUGAAUAAAUAAUAUGCAACGAAAACAUACAUGGCAUAAUAAAAAUUAUUACUAUUAGAUGCACAAAACAAAAUGCAGAUCAAAUGAGCAAUAUGGUGUAAAACUAUUUUAAAACAAUGAUAAGUACAUGACACAUACUAUAUGAAUUGAUGAAUUGACAAGUAAAAAAAAAAUUUGUUAAUGGCAAGCUUAAUAAACACACGCAAUCAUUAGAAUAUAUAUAAUAUAAAAGAAUAAUAAUGAAGAUAUAUGACAAGAUAUAAUACACAAAAUAGAUUUAUAAAACAUAUGUACAUGUAAGUUUAUAAAAAAAAACAUGAGAUUAAUAAUGAGAUAUAUAUAAAUUUUUAAAAUAGUUUCAUAUAUACAUAAUUAUUAAAACAUAUAUUAUGGAAUAAAUAUUUUUAAUCAAAUAGCAUACAAAAUAUUGAGGAAUAUUAGCUAAAAAAUGACAAUUUUCAUAAAAAAUUUUAAAAUAUGUAUCAAAGAUGAAAAGAUUACAAAAAAAAAAUGUAAAAUAAAACAUAAUCUUAGAAACAUAAUCAAUUUACACAUUGCGCAGAUAUAUAUAACAUUAAAAGUAAUUAUUCGUAAAAGCAUGUAAUACAUACAAAAUUAACUUGAUUUUAUUGUAAGUUAUAUGAUAGAUUUAAAAGCACACCUAUAUAGAAAGAAAACCAUACGCGUAGAAUACGCGAGUUUAAUAAUGUAUAGAUUAAAUGUGGUAUCCACAAUGCAUAUACAUAUAAUGAUAAUAACUUAAAAGAUAUUACAUAGGAUUAUAUGAUACAAUACGAGAAUAAAUUUAAAAAGGAAUCAUGUGCGUAAAAUAAUAUAAGGUUGAUUAAUAUAUACAUGCAAUAAAAUUAAUUUUGAUACAAAGUACAUAUAUAUAUGUAGCGACGUAAAAAUUUUAGCUUAGCUUGGUCGCUAAUUGUGGCGAUUUAUUGAAAUUUUUUUUGAAAUUUGACGUUUGAUUUUUGAAAUAAAUAGGGAGUCACCACCGAUCCUUUUUCCUAGGUGUGAUCGGACACCUAUUAGAUCUUUUAUUAAAACAAAUAAAAGGCUGAGUUUAGGUCUACGUUAAAAUCCAGAGAAAAUUUAGGGUUCGGGAGUCGGUUACGCACGAGGAAGGUAUUGGCACCCUCGCGACGCCCAAAAUUGGUAUCUUAUUAAACACAUGUUGUCUUGAUUUUCAAAAAUACGAAUUCAAUUUGACAUUUAAGUGUGAUCCGAUUGAAGGAAAUGAGAAGUUGCAAGUUUUUUUGUUUUUAGAAGGACGUCCCGUUUUUAACACGAGCCGAUUAAUUUCACCCAACAUAGCAAUGAAAUCGAUGACUUAAUGUUAAAAUUGGUACAUUGCCUUAUUCUUAAAAUUAAAAUGUAAAAAGUUUUUAAAAUGAUAGUAAAAAAAAAUCCAAGAAUAUUAUUGUCAAAAAAUGCGAACAAUGAUGGGAAUAAUAAAAUAUAUAAAAUAUAAAAUAUCAAAAUAUUAGAAUAAUAAUAAUUAAUAUUGACAAAUAAAAAAUAAAAUAGAAAUAAAAAAGAUGUACAUAAUAUAUAUAUUAGAAAUAAUAAUGAUGUUUAAAAAAAAUACUAUUAAUAAUACUACAUCAAUAUGUACAUAUAUAAAAAAUAAAUACAUGAUAAUAUUAAAAAUAUGUACAUAAUAUAGUGUUAAAAAUACAUACAUAAUAUAGUUAAGAUAUAUACAUAAGAUAACAUGUAGAAAAAAAAUAUAUAAAUAAUAUAAUAUUAAAGAUAUAUAAAUAAAAUAGUAUAAAAUAUAUAUAUACGUAAUAUAAAAUUUAAAAUAUACCUAAUAUAUUAAAAGAAUAUAUAUAAUAUAAUAUUAAGAAAUAUAAUAAUAACAAAAAAAGAGAGGGAGAGGGUGGGUGAUUUUCGGCCACAAGGCCGGCCAUCGUCCGGUCGCCGGACCGCCGCCGGCGCCACCGUACACGGCAGCCGGACCUCAAAAAAACUUUUUCGGUAAAAAUGGGUAAGCUUCCUCCUUUUAUUUUUACUUUCGUAUAAAAGAAACAAAAUAAGAUUGAAAGGAAAACAAUAAGUAAACAAAGAACUUAAAAUGAGAAUAGACAAAGAAACCUCUUUUGCUUUGAUUUUUGAUUAAUCUCCAAAAAAACUAGCUUCUCCAAAAACUAGCCUUCACAAUAACUCUUCUCCUUGAUUACUUUAAAAAGAAACCUCUCCAAAAAUCCUUUACAAUAAUUUUCUCUCCCAAAAACUCUAAAAAAAAAAAAAAUCCCCCCCCAUAUACAAAAUAUGAGAAGGCUUAUAUAGCCAUUUACAAAAUAUUUUUUUAUUUUUUAUGUCUUCAUUUGUAGGUACAAGUGAUGGUGGAGAAGGUGUGGCUAGUGGAGUUGGUGGUGGAAAAAGAGUGGCUAGUGGAGUUGGUGGUGGAAAAGGUGUGGCUAGUGGAGUUGGUGGUGGAAAAAGAGUGGCUAGUGGAGUUAGUGGUGGAAAAGGUGUGGCUAGUGGAGUUGGUGGUGGAAAAGGAGUGGCUAGUUGAGAAAAGUUUAAGUUGUGGGCUAGGUUUUUUUUUAUUUUGAUUUGGGCUUAGGGUUUGGGCCAUUGGGGUUUUGAUGUAAAUUGGGCUUUGGGUAGUUAAGAUUUUGGGUUUUGGGUUUAAUUUUGGUGGGUUAGGUAAGGCUAAAUUGGGUUUUGAUGUAAAUGGGCUAAAAUUGGCCUACAACAGCUGCCCCUCUUUGCUUGUUAUCGUGUAACGAGAAUAGAGCAAAGAUAUAAAGAAAGGCCAAUUUUGCCCGGUCUUGCUAAAUAUGGACUUCUUUGGUGCUCUUCUCAUCCAAGUAGUCUCUUUCCAGUCCAUCGCAUCUUGUAGCUUUGGUUCAAUCCACUGCAAAUUCGGAGAUAUGCCUUAUAGCUUCAAUCUGUUCCAAUGUAAUUCAAUAUGCUCUUCUAUUGCUUUAGUGAGAUAAGGUUUUGGGUCUUCUCUUCUGCCACUUUAGAAAGGCAAGAUCUGAUAUCCUCGAUCAACUCCACUGCAACUUCAGGGAGACAAAAUCUGGUGUCUUCAAUCAGCUCUAAUAUUGAUUCUUUACUCGGCAUGUGAUCCUGAGCUCAACUCAUUUCUCGCAAUAUGAAUUGACUCUGUAAAACUAGACAUUAAAAACAGAAAUUGAAAAUAGCUCAGCACGUGAGCCAAGGCUCAACUCACCUCUCGCAAAAGUAGAUUUUGAAAAUACCUCGACAUGUAAACCCAAGGCUCAACUCACAUCUCGCAAUAUGAGUUGAUUUUUGAAAAGCAGAAAUUCAAAACGCCUCAGCGUGUGACCCGAGGCUCAACUCACCUCUCGCAAUAUGAGUUGAUUUUUUUUGAAAAGCAGAAAUUGAAAAUAGCUCAGCACGUGAGCAAAGGCUCAACUCACCUCUCACAAUAUGAGUUGAUUCUUUUGAAAAGCAGAAAUUGAAAAUAGCUCAGCACGUGAGCAAAGGCUCAACUCACUUCUCGUAAUAUGAGUUGAUUUUUGAAAAAUAAAAAUUAAAAACAGAGUUUGAAAGACAGAAUUUGAAAAUACCUCGGCAUGUGACUCGAGGCUCAACUCACCUCUCGCAAUAUAAGUUGAUAUUUUGAAAAGCAGAAAUUGGAAAAAAACAGAAAUUGAAAAUACCUCAGCGUGUCUUGAGGCUCAAUUCACCUCUCACAAUAUGAGUUGAUUUAUUUUUUUGAAAUUAAAACACAAAAAUCGACAAUUCCUCAGCGUGCCCCGAGGCUCAACUCACUUCUUGCAAUAUGAGUUGAUUUUUGAAAAAUAGAAAUUGAAAUUACCUCAGCAUGUCCUGAGGCUCAACUCACCUCUCGCAAUAUGAGUUGAUUUUGACAAACAGAAACAGAAAUUGAAAAUACCUCAGCACGUGAGCCGAGGCUCAACUCACUUCUUGCAAUAUGAAUUGAUUUUUUUGACAAUAGAAAUUGCAAUUACCUCAACAUGUCCCAAGGCUCAACUCACCUCCCGCAAUAUGAGUUGAUUUUUGAAAAACAUAAAUUGAAACAAAAAAAUUGACAAUACCUCAGCGUGCCCCGAGGCUCAACUCACCUCUCGCAAUAUGAGUUGAUUUUUGAAAAACAGAAAUUUAAAAAUACCUCAGCGUGUCCUGAAGCUCAACUCACCUCUCGCAAUAUGAGUUGAUUUUUUUUUACGAACAGAAAUUGAAAAACAAAAAUUGAAAAGACCUCAGCAUGUGAGUCGAGGCUCAACUCACUUCUCGCAAUAUGAGUUGAUUUUUGACAAACAGAAAUUGAAAUUACCUCAGCGUGUCCCGAGGCUCAACUCACCGCUCGCAAUAUGAGUUGAUUUUUUGAAAAAUAGAAAUUUAAAAAUACCUCAACGUGUCCUGAGGCUCAACUCACCUCUCGCAAUAUGAGUUGAUUUUUUUUUACGAACAGAAAUUGAAGAACAGAAAUUGAAAAGACCUCAGCAUGUGAGUCGAGGCUCAACUCACCUCUCGCAAUAUGAGUUAAUUUUUGACAAACAGAAAUUGAAAUUACCUCAGCGUGUCCCGAGGCUCAACUUACCUCUCGCAAUAUGAGUUGAUUUUUGACAAACAGAAAUUGAAAUUACCUCAGCGUGUCCUGAGGCUCAACUCACCUCUAGCAAUAUGAGUUGAUUUUGAAAAACAAAAAUUAAAAGUACCUCAACGUGUCUUGAGGCUCAACUCAUCUCUCGCAAUAUGAGUUGAUUUUCCUUGAAAAGCAUGAAUUAAAAACAUCAAAAUACCCAAAACCUGUCCUUUGGUAGAACUCGGGUGUCUUUUCCUUUGAUUCAGUGCGACUCUCAUUCAAGAUUUCUUGCUCUGCUGGAGUACCUGUAUAUGUUAUGUAUGAUGUUAUCAUGAUAUGCACAUGUUUGUCUUAAAUGAUUUUAUGCCUACAUGAUUAUGCAGUGCUCCUUAAGCAUGUUUGUCGUAUGUCCAUUUAGCCACGAUUGUUGAGGAUCUGUGUUCAUUGCUUUGAUUCUCAACUUUCUCUUCAGGCCUUAUACCUGCCUUCAAGCUUCACGAGUAAUCGACGUUCCUCAGAUAUCACUCUUCUGCCCCCGAUUGAACUUUGUUCUUACUUUGAGACUCUUGUGCUUAUCAAAUUUUCAUCCAGGUAAUGCUUAACAUUUAUCUUGUUUAGAGUAUGUCAUUUCUCCAUUUAUCAUGUAAAUAAACACAUAAUGAGAUGCAUGAAAAAGGUCAGGUAGGGAAAAAUGAUAUUUCAUAUUCAUCUAUUUCAAAUGUGGCAAACAAAGCAAGUUAACCAAUGAGAGUAAAAAAUGUCAAAAAGAAAGAAAGGAUCGUAUUCAACGGAUACAAAUACUUUAGAUAUUCGACACAUGAACUCUUCCACGUUCCUCAAUCAAGAAUAUUUUCGAGUCUGGCUCUUUGCGUAGAAGAUUUCGAGCUUUCAGAAAUGCUUCAAAUACUGUAGUCUCACUGUUUGACCCGCUGUUAAAACGCCACGCUCUUUAAGCCAGGUUUACCUCAUUAGGACGCCCUCUCAGGUUUUCAUCCUAAUCUUUUGUGCUAAUCAAGACGCCUUUUGCGGGUUUUCGCCUUGAUCCCUCUUUUUUUUUGGAUGCCCUUUUCGGGUUUUCAUCUCAAGCAUAAUAUUUCUUCACAGCAUCUGAGUUCACUGGAUUCGGUAACUUCUUUCCAUCCAUCUUGGUAAGGAUCAAAGCUCCUCCUGAAAAUUCCUUCUUUACGACGUAUGGUCCUUCCCAAUUUGGUGCCUAUUUUCCUCGCAGGUCCUUUUGUAUUGGGAGAAUCUUCCUCAGUACGAGUUCUCUUUCGUGGAAUUCUCUUGGCCAUACUUUCUUGUCAUGGGCCGCGAUCAUUCUCUUCUGGUACAUCUGCCCAUGACAAAUUGCUCUUAGACAUUUUUCUCCGAUGAGGUUCAACUGAUCAUAUCGAUCUCGAACCCAUUCUGCUUCUUCUAACUUUAAUUCCAUUAAGACUCGCAGGGAGAGGAUCUCAACCUCAAUAGGUAGCACAGCUUCCAUUCCGUAAGCCAGAGAGAAAGGAGUUGCUCCCGUAGAUGUUCGCACAGAUGUGCGAUAUGCAAACAAAGCAAAUGGAAGCUUCUCGUGCCAAUCUUUAUAUGUUUCAGUUAUUUUCCCAAUGAUCCUCUUAAUAUUUUUAUUGGCUGCUUCAACAGCCCCGUUCAUCUUUGGGCGAUAGGGCGAGGAGUUAUGAUGCUUUAUUUGGAACUGCUCCCACACUUCUUUCAUCAUCUUAUUGUUCAGAUUCAUGACAUUAUCUGAAAUGAUUCUUUCAGGCAAACCAUACCGGUAAAUGAUUUCCUUUUUCAAAAACCUGCAAACUGCAGUCCUCGUCCCAUUGGCAAACGAAGCGGCUUCUAUCCAUUUUGUGAAGUAAUCGAUGACCACAAAAACGAAUCGAUGUCCAUUUGAUUCUUUUGGAGAAAUUGGCCCUAUGACAUCCAUGCCCCACAUAGAAAAAGGCCACGGAGAAGUCAUGACAUGAAGGGGUGAAGGGGCUACAUGAAUUUUAUCGCUGUAGAUUUGACAUUUGUGGCAUUUUCUGGCAAAAUUGAUGCAGUCAUUUUCCAUUGUCAGCCAAUAAUAACCGAGUCUCAUGAUCUUUCUGGCCAUAUUGAAACCAUUGGCAUGCAUUCCGUAAAUUCCCUCAUAGACCUCUUCAAGUAUUUUUCUGGCUUCAACAUCAUCCACACAUCUCAAAAGCAUCUGAUCCUUUCCUCUUUUAUACAGGAUAUCCCCAUCAAGAACAAAUCCCGCUGCCAUUCUUCUAAUUGUUCUUUUAUCGUUCUCAUUCGCUUGUUUGGGAUACCUUUGAUUCUUGAUAUAUUCUAAGAUAUCAUGGAACCAAGGUCGUCCGUCUACUUUUUUCUCAAUGCUACAACAGUGUGCAGGGACCUCGUAUAUGCUCAUUUUGAGGGGCAUUAUUUCUACUUCUCUACUUGCUUUGAACAUUGAAGCCAAAGUGGCUAGGGCAUCAGCCAGUUGGUUCUCUUCUCGUGGGAAGUAAUGAAAAGUUAUUUCUUUAAAUUCCUUGAUCAAUCCAGCCACUAAAUCGCUGUACUUAAUCAAUUUUGAGUCCCUCACUUCCCGCUCUCCACAGAUUUGGUAAAUCACUAGGGCUGAGUCCCCGUACACCUCCAAGAUCUCGAUGUUUCGUUCGAUAGCUGCACGAAGCCCCAUGAUACAGGCCUCAUAUUCUGUGAUAUUAUUGGUACAGAAGAAGUUCAGUCUUGCAGUGAACGGAUAAUGAUUCCCGUCUGGUGAUACCAGGAUUGCUCCAAUUCCAUGCCCUAAAGCAUUUGACGCACCAUCAAAGCACAUCUUCCAUGACUUCUCUUUUGAUGACUCGGAUUCCAUUUCUGUGAUGCACAUUAAGUCUUCGUCUGGGAAAUCAAAUUUCAAGGGCUCAUAUUCCUCCGUCGUUCGAGUCGCUAAGAAAUCAGCUAUUGCGCUCCCUUUUAUCGACUUCUGACUUACAUAGGCAAUGUCAUAUUCUGAUAGGAGGAUCUGCCAUCGUGCCAUUCUUCCUGAGAGUGCCGGUGAUUCCAUCAUGUAUUUUAUUGGGUCUAGCUUUGAAAUUAGCCAUGUCGUGUGAUACAACAUAUAUUGUCUGAGUCUCCGAGCUACCCAAACCAGAGCGCAACAGUAUUUUUCAAUGGACGAAUACUUUGCCUCAUAUUCAAUGAACUUUUUACUGAGGUAGUAGAUCGCCUUUUCUUUCUUUCCUGACUCGUCGUGUUGCCCCAGUACGCAACCCAUUGAAUUUUCAAACACAGUUAAAUACAAUAUCAAUGGUCUUCCCGGAGUUGGUGGUACUAGCACUGGAGGACUAGACAAAUAUUGCUCUAUUUUAUCAAAGGCCACCUGGCAUUCCUCAUUCCAUUCUCCAGGGUUAUGUUUUCGAAGAAGUCGAAAGAUUGGGUCGCAUUGGUUGGUAAGCUGAGCGAUAAAUCGGGUGAUGUAAUUUAAUCUCCCUAAAAAUCCUCUAACUUCCUUUUGCAUGCGCGGAGACGGUAACUCUUGAAUGGCUUUUAUUUUAUCUGGAUCAACCUCGAUACCUCUUUCACUGACAAUGAAGCCUAGCAACUUCCCCGAGGUAGCCCCAAACGUAAAUUUGGCUGGAUUGAGCUUUAACUGGAACUUUCUCAGCCUGUCGAACAACUUCUUGAGAUUCACUACAUGCUCUUCUUCCCCUCGGGAUUUAGUAAUCAUAUCGUCGAUGUAGACCUCUAUUUCUUUAUGCAUCAUGUCAUAGAAUAACGUCACCAUAGCCCUUUGAUAUGUUGCCCCAGCAUUCUUUAACCCGAAUGGCAUCACCUUGUAGCAGAACGUUCCCCACAUUGUUAUGAAGGUAGUUUCUCCAUAUCCUCAGGGGCCAUCUUGAUCUGAUUAUACCCCGAGAAUCCAUCCAUGAAAGAAAAUAAUGAAUGUUUUGUUGUGUCGUCCACCAACGUAUCAAUAUGUGGCAAGGGAAAAUUAUCUUUUGGGCUUGCUCGAUUCAGGUCACUGUAAUCCACGCACAUUCGUACUUUGCCAUCUUUCUUUGGUACCGGGACUAUGUUAGCCACCCAUUCUGGAUAUUUGGAGGCUUGUAGGAAGCCAGCAUCAAAUUGCUUCUUGACUUCCUCUUUUAUUUUCAACAGCAUUUCGAGUCUCAUCCGUCUUAAUUUUUGCUGGAUAGGCUUGCAUUCUGGCUUUAAUGGGAGCUUGUGGACCACUAAAUCUUCAUAUAGCCCUGGCAUAUCCUGGUAUGACCAUGCAAAAACAUCUUUGUACUCGCGGAGCAGAGCGAUCAAAUUAUGCCUAGUGCUCUCUGAAAUAGAAGUCCCAAUUUUCACUUCUUGUUUCCUUUCUUCAGUGCCCAAGUUUAUUGUUUCCACAGAUUCUUCAUGAGGCAAAAUCUGUUUAUCCUCUUGUUCCACCAUUCUUAACAAUUCAGGAGAUGAGACAUAGUCUUCAGCAUUUUCUUCGGCUUCGAAUUCUCCUAAACAAACAGCCUUCUCAAAAUCGAUUUCAGGACUCGUAACGGGUUUGUUCAUGCCAUUGAUAUCUGAGCACCUGAAAGUUGAAUGGAAAAGGAAACUAUAGAGGGGCAUCCAAGUAUUGGAACCAACAAACGAAAUGUUUUGGCAUGGUAUGAGGCAAAUGUACAGAUAGGCUAUGAAAUGAGGAGAUGAUUAUGAAAUUAGUGAUAAUGCGAAAGAUCGUGAUAAAAUGCAUCUUCAUUGAUAUUCAUUUAAAUGAUAAAGAGUGAAUGCAAGCUCUUACAAAAGAGUUCUAUUAUAUCUAAGGACACAAUAGAGGGUUAAUGUUUGAGCAUUACUCUGAAGACUUAUAAACUACAAGAAGGUCCUCGGCAGUCCAAUUGUUCAACAUGAAACCAGGAGGACAAGGGUGUAUCCUCGAGACAUCUUUACUCACAUCAGCCCCUUUGUCAAUAACAUUUAUACUGACAUUUUGAAGACCCUUUUCAAUUAACCAUAGCGUGUUUCGUGGACCAUCUUGUCCAGGGUACAUCAUUCCCGCAGAUGUAAAUGUUUUUGACAAAGGAGGGUACUCUAUUGGUUCCCAUUCUGGUUCUCGGCCCAAAGUUCUUGCAAUCCUUCUUUCCUGAUCUUUUUUCCACUGUCUUCUUCUUUGACGCAUGUCAGGCUAGAACCCCAAACCGUAUCGGGCCCUGUGGUGCACUGGCUUUAAAGCCCUGACUAUUCUUUGCAGAUAUCUCCCUAAACCUCUUCUCGCUCGAGCUCCCUUUCCUACGGUCAAUUUGACACCUAUUCUAGUAUUUCUUGACAGUUUUGGCACCAGAAUUCUGUUUCUCUCAACAACAAAAGUGGCAUUGACGAAUUCAAGGGAUCGGAAGGAACAUUCUAAUGCAUCUUUGUUCACUUCCAAGUACGGUGCAUCGGCAGAGACGGAUGCGACAAUGUCUUCUUCUCCCUUGACAGUGACCAAACAACCGUCCAUGAUAAAUUUCACCUUUUGAUGGAGGGAUGAUGGGACUACUUCAGCAGAAUGGAUCCAGGGUCUUCCCAAAAGGCAGUUAUAAGAGGGUGUAAUGUCCAUGACUUGGAACUUGACAUCAUAAAUGUAAGGGCCCACUUCCAAAGGGAUUUCGAUCUUUCCCAUGACUUCGCGCCUCGUCCCGUCGAAUGCCCUUACCGUGGAAUGACAGGGCCUUAAGUAGGACAAAUCCAUCGGUAUUCUAGAAAGCGUGGCCAAUGGCAUAACAUUUAACACUGACCCAUUAUCGAUGAGUACGUUCGGUAUUAUGUAGCCCUUGCAGUGAGUCGUGAUAUGUAGCGCUUUCACCGAGCCUCUACCAUUUGGCGGUAUCUCAUCAUCACUAAAAGAGAUGAAAUUAUCUGCAUUUAGAUUAUUUACCCACCUAUCAAGCUUCUCAAUGGAUAUGUUGUUGGCCACAUAAGCUUGAUUUAACACCUUCAAUAAAGUAUUCCGGUGUGGCUCUGAAUUUAACAGUAGAGAUAAAACUGAGAUUCGUGCUGGCUGCUUACUCAAUUGUUCCACCAUACUAUACUCGCUGUGCUUGAUAAAUUUCAAGAAUUCUUGAGCUUCUUCCUCAUUCACAGGCUUUUUGGUUUCUUGCACGGGUGGAAUUUCUUGCUCGACUUCGACUUCGUGCAUCACUGCUUUUCCUUUCUGUUUCAAGUCACUGUUCUAUUUUAUCUCCUUCAAAUAACAUCUUCCACUACGAGUGAAAUGACCUACUUCCCCGACGCUUCCAGUUAUGGCUUUGGGUUUUUCAUCUUCAGGUGUGACGAUAUUAACGUCAUAUUUCCAUGGUACUGUUUUAUUGUCCUUGUAAGGGAAAGGAGACGGUACUUAAAUUAUCAUUUUUGAUUUCACCAGUUCCUUCCUUGCAUCGUAAUAAAUUACGAAUGGUCGAUCGGCGCUAUACGGACAACCUGACGAUUGAUUGUCAGAGGCACAUACUUCUUUCUCAUUGGCCCCUCCUUCAUUAAUGAUCUCAAUCUCCUUAUUAUCUAUCCGGUCUUGCAGUAACCUUUUAAAUUCCUCACAUGAUUGAAUGUCGUGCCCUACAAUUCCAUGAAAAUCAUAAAGAACCUGACAUUCUUUUCUGAGAUUAUCGCCGGGGCGACAGAGCAAUCCAUUCUUAACCAGUGCUUCUCAGAUUUUCUGCAGAGGCGUCCUUAUUUCUGAAACACAUCUUCUGACUUGCCAUUCAUCUUCUUUCCCCACUGUGCUUACAUUCCCUUCAGUAUGGUUAGGGAACGGGUUCCCAGUUACAUUACUGGUACUAUCGAAUCAUAGGAUACCCGCAUCAAUUAGUCCUUGAACUCUCCUCUUAAAGGCUAGGCAAUUUUCCGUGGAAUGUCCCUGGUUUCCCGCAUGGUAUUCACAACUAGCGUUUAGGUCGUACCAUUUCGGGUAUGGGGGCCUCAAGGGUGCCAUAUAAUGCGGGGAUAUCAAUUGCUUCUCCAAAAAUUUUGGGUACAGUUCCCCAUAUGACGCAGGAAUAGGGGUAAAUUGUAGUCUUUCGGAAUUGGGUUUUACUGGCCUCUGCUCAUUUUUGGGUUGACCUUGGGCGGGUAUUAUAUUUUGUGGGAAUGUGGUGGUUGGUCUCGGGUUACUUGUGGCGUAAACGGGGUAAGAAGAGUAAGGAGGCGGUGUUUGGUAGUAAGGGGUUUGAGGAGGGUAAUAGAAAUUCGGAGGUGGAUAAUUUCGAGGUCGAGGUUGGUUUGGAUAUGGGUUAGGGGCAUAACGGCUUCCCAUUCCCACCAUGUGGGUUUCUGGUUCUUUCUUCUUCAUGGGCGCUGCCCUUCUUGAACUUUCUUGACCUUCCAUACUACCGCUCUUGACAGCAUUCUCUAUAAGCUCACCGGAUAUUACAAUAUCCGCAAACUCCUUCGUGGCACUUCUCACUAGUUUGUAAUAAAACGGCGCCUUUAAGGUGUUGAUAAAGAGAACGGUUAUCUCCGUUUUUGUUAGUGGGGGUUCCACUUGGGCCGAGACGUCUCUCCAUCUCUGCACAUACUGUCUGAAGGUCUCUGAUGGUUUUUUCUCCAUCAUUUGCAAGGUCAUCCGGUCUGGCACCAUGUCUGAUACAUGCUUGUACUGCUCGCAGAAUGCAGACGCCAAGUCCUUCCAGGAUCGAAUCUUUUCUCUACUAAGUUGGUUGUACCACCGAAGAGCUGACCCUGUUAGCUAUCUUGAAAGCAAUGUAUGAGUAGCUUAUCCUCGUUCACAUAACCGGUCAUUUUUCGGCAAAACAUGACAAGAUGCGCCUUUGGACAUCUCGUGCCAUCGUAUUUUUCGAAAUCAGGCACCUUGAACUUCGAAGGCAGAACUAAAUCGGGCACCAAACUGAGCUCUUUGGCACUUAAUGCAGAGAAGGCUUCAGUACCCUCUAUUACUUUGAGUCUUUCCUCUAAGCUCCUAUACUUCUCUUGAGCCUCACAAUCGUCCGUUCUCAACCUGGCUACUUCCGCUGGAUCGUCCGAAUCUGGAAUAAUUGGAUUGGCAGGAUUAGCCUCAGAAUUUGAUAUGAAUAUUCCUUGCCCUAAAUGAGUAUAUGGCACCAGCCGUUGCUCUGGGUCUGUGGGUUCUCCUUGGGUGUACCCUCUUUGUGCUGCGUGGGCGUGUGGUGGAGUGAAUCCGGGGGGAUAGAGCGGGUCUUGAUUGUGAUUAGCUAUUGAUCGAGAUUCCUCAAUGUCAGGGCUCUGCAUGGGUCCCUUUCCUUUAACUAAAGCUGACAUCAUCUCCAUCAUCUUGGCCAUUUGAUCAUUCUGUUCAAGCGAUUCUUCUCUUGAUCUCACCAUUAAGUCUCUCGUCUCUUGCUGUGACCUAGCCAACUGCUCUUGCAAUUCCUUUUGAAUUCUCUCCAUCCUUUCAAUCCUUUCAUUGAAUUCGGCCUCCAUUACUCUAGUUUGUCGGCGCGUUCUAUACGAAUGACGUGGUUCCAGUCUUGUGGUAUUACAACUGCGAAUUAUAUAUUUUAUCUUCAGCGACCGAGUAUGGGAUAUGCAAUGUAUGAAUGAAUGCAUGAAUGAAUGCAUGAAUGUUAAAUGAAUGUCAGUCAUGAAUGAAUAUGCAAAAAUUUGGUGUUAAUUUCAAGAUAGCCCCUAUUUAGGCAUUUCCUUAAUCAAAGGAGUAUUACACAACGUUUCGGUCACUCUUAUAAUUGACUCCUCCAUUAGAAACCCGUUUUUGGCAACCAAUCUCUAAUCAACACCUUCCUAACAAGAUGCCUUCGAUGCAUGAUGAAAAAUAAAAAUACAGAUAAACGACCUUGGUUAGCGCAACACAUAUAAACAGAGAAAAACUGUGGAAAAUUUAACAAAUUAAGCUACUUGGUCCAGUAGACUCGAUUCCCUUGCUUAGAAAGCACAAAUGUAAAAGAAAUAGAAGGUAAGAUGUGCUUUUCCCGUGUACUUAUUUCGGUGACUACUAAACGAGUGGAGGUUCGGCAUGGCUCUAGUUGGGUGGCUCGUAUGGUUCACUAUAUGCGGUUUUGGUUCUAGACAGGUACUCGAAUUACUCGUACUAUCAUCUGCUAAGAUUAGCACGAAGCCUCGGUCAUAACCCAUCACAGGCUCACGAGUUCAAUUCGAGGGAUUACAUUUACUUAUGCUUAUGCGGAGGGACAAGUUAACUCACGAAAGCAUAAGUCAUAUGUAACCCGAAAGUAUUCACCAGCCUGUGCGGAGGGACGAGUUAACUCACGAAGGCAUAGCGUUUACUUUCACUUAAACGGACAGAGCCCGGAUAGAGAGCUUAUGUUAUGCAAAAUGCAAGUGCACGGUGUGUGGGAGAAACUUGCAAUCCUUCCAUUUAUUUUAAAACUACAAAACUAAAACGAAAGAUAAAACAAAUUAGGAGAUACGUAUGUAUGAUUUUUUUGAAAACAAAACUUAAGGAUCAUGAUUAAAUAUUAAUUUGAACAUGGAAAUUUGAAAAUUUUGACAACACGCGUUUAAUUCCAGACACGACUCUCAACAAGGCUGUCUCCAGUGGAGUCGCCAGCUGUAGCGACGUAAAAAUUUUAGCUUAGCUUGGUCGCUAAUUGUGGCGAUUUAUUGAAAUUUUUUUUGAAAUUUGACGUUUGAUUUUUGAAAUAAAUAGGGAGUCGCCACCGAUCCUUUUUCCUAGGUGUGAUCGGACACCUAUUAGAUCUUUUAUUAAAACAAAUAAAAGGCUGAGUUUAGGUCUACGUUAAAAUCCAGAGAAAAUUUAGGGUUCGGGAGUCGGUUACGCACGAGGAAGGUAUUGGCACCCUCGCGACGCCCAAAAUUGGUAUCUUAUUAAACACAUGUUGUCUUGAUUUUCAAAAAUACGAAUUCAAUUUGACAUUUAAGUGUGAUCCGAUUGAAGGAAAUGAGAAGUUGCAAGUUUUUUUGUUUUUUAGAAGGACGUCCCGUUUUUAACACGAGCCGAUUAAUUUCACCCAACAUAGCGAUGAAAUCGAUGACUUAAUGUUAAAAUUGGUACAUUGCCUUAUUCUUAAAAUUAAAAUGUAAAAAGUUUUUAAAAAUGAUAGUAAAAAAAAAUCCAAGAAUAUUAUUGUCAAAAAAUGCGAACAAUGAUGGGAAUAAUAAAAUAUAUAAAAUAUAAAAUAUUAAAAUAUCAAAAUAUUAGAAUAAUAAUAAUUAAUAUUGACAAAUAAAAAAUAAAAUAGAAAUAAAAAAGAUGUACAUAAUAUAUAUUAGAAAUAAUAAUGAUGUUUUAAAAAAAUACUAUUAAUAAUACUACAUCAAUAUGUACAUAUAUAAAAAAUAAAUACAUGAUAAUAUUAAAAAUAUGUACAUAAUAUAGUGUUAAAAAUACAUACAUAAUAUAGUUAAGAUAUAUACAUAAGAUAACAUGUAGAAAAAAAAAUAUAUAAAUAAUAUAAUAUUAAAGAUAUAUAAAUAAAAUAGUAUAAAAUAUAUAUAUACGUAAUAUAAAAUUUAAAAUAUACCUAAUAUAUUAAAAGAAUAUAUAUAAUAUAAUAUUAAGAAAUAUAAUAAUAACAAAAAAAAGAGAGGGAGAGGGUGGGUGAUUUUCGGCCACAAGGCCGGCCAUCGUCCGGUCGCCAGACCGCCGCCGGCGCCACCGUACACGGCAGCCGGACCUCAAAAAAACUUUUUCGGUAAAAAUGGAUAAGCUUCCUCCUUUUAUUUUUUACUUUCGUAUAAAAGAAACAAAAUAAGAUUGAAAGGAAAACAAUAAGUAAACAAAGAACUUAAAAUGAGAAUAGACAAAGAAACCUCUUUUGCUUUGAUUUUUGAUUAAUCUCCAAAAAAACUAGCUUCUCCAAAAACUAGCCUUCACAAUAACUCUUCUCCUUGAUUACUUUAAAAAGAAACCUCUCCAAAAAUCCUUUACAAUAACUUUCUCUCCCGAAAACUCUAAAAAAAAAAAUCCCCCCCAUAUACAAAAUAUGGGAAGGCUUAUAUAGCCAUUUACAAAAUAUUUUUUUAUUGUUUAUGUCUUCAUUUGUAGGUACAAGUGAUGGUGGAGAAGGUGUGGCUAGUGGAGUUGGUGGUGGAAAAAGAGUGGCUAGUGGAGUUGGUGGUGGAAAAGGUGUGGCUAGUGGAGUUGGUAGUGGAAAAAGAGUGGCUAGUGGAGUUAGUGGUGGAAAAGGUGUGGCUAGUGGAGUUGGUGGUGGAAAAGGAGUGGUUAGUUGAGAAAAGUUUAAGUUGUGGGCUAGGUUUUUUUUAUUUUGAUUUGGGCUUAGGGUCUGGGCCAUUGGGGUUUUGAUGUAAAUUGGGCUUUGGGUAGUUAAGAUUUUGGGUUUUGGGUUUAAUUUUGGUGGGUUAGGUAAGGCUAAAUUGGGUUUUGAUGUAAAUGGGCUAAAAUUGGCCUACAACAAUAUAUAUUAAUAUUUAAAAGAGAUUGUAUAAGAAAAUUAAAAGAGUUUAAUGCAAAAAGAAAUUCGAAGUGGUUAUUUCAUAAAACAAAACAAAAUCAUGCAUGUACAAAUGUAUAUGUAUACAACAAAUAUAAUAUAUUAAAAAACAAGAUAUUGACAUGAUAAAAAUCUUCAAAACAACUGUACAAAUAAGCAAAUAAGAAUAAAAGGUUACAAGCCAAAAGGAUUUAAUUAGAAUCGAUCCAAAACGAAAGGGAUAAUCUGAAAAUAAAGUAAUAAUAAUAAAAGGAUCAAUAUUCAAUGCGCGAAAACGCAUAGGGACUAAAACUGGCAAUAUACCAGAUACCAAAACGUUACGUUUAGGCGCGGAUUAGAUUGGAAACAAAUUUAAAUUACAAGGAAAAAAUUAAAAAAAAUAAAAAAGGAGCAGAUGGGCCGAUUUAAAUGCGGUGCAAAAGUGGAGGGAUUUAACUUGCAAAUAACCCCUCACCGCAAUGACGCGUGGAUCCUGAGAGUCAAAGAACCAGAUCGGGUCGGGCAGAAAGGGGGUGGCCUAGACGAUGUCGUUUGAGACCAUUUUUAUUGGUCUAAACGGUGUCGUUUCUACUACCAUAAAAAGGCUAAACCAUGCCUUCAUUCAGCCGAAACCCUAGAGUAACCCUGGCUUUUCUUUUUUUCCUUAGCUGAACCCUAAGUCACUGCCCCAAACUGACGAUUCUCAUCCCCCAGGCACGAAUUACUCACCCAAUCCCGAAGGAUGAUUUUUAGCCUCAAAAUCUCCUCCUGGCCUCGACUUUAACAAAGCAGAAGGAGAUCUACGGCGUACCCCCGGUAAGGUUUCGUUUCUUUUUUCUUUUAUGCACUCAAAACUUGAAAGAACGACUGAAGAUUCAGAAAUAAAUGAACUGGGCUAAGGAUAAAAGAAAAGCCUCAGAGAUUGGAAUCGGAAUCACCUUCGAAUGCUCGUUGCUUUUUUUGUAUAUUGCCUUUGUUUUUCAUUUUCUAUUGCUUCUGUAUGCGUAAAAAAGGGGAACCCCUAUACAAUAUAAAAUCCUCGGUUUUAUAGUCGAAUGUUCAAAAAAGAAAUAAAAGAAUACAAUUUUUGUUCUUUUUUCGUAUUGGCCAUUAUUGCUGCUGUCGUUUUGUCCGUUUCUUUGCAGGUACAAAGUGUGCGUUGGUGCUCGGGUACGGGGCUGUGUGUUGGCAUCGUACGGAGACUAUGCUGGCGCGGACGUGGCUGCUGAACGGUACAGAGCAUACGACGCUGGGGCUAGGCUCGUCUGCGGUUACGGCGCGAAAGUGAGGAGGAAGCUCUAGGGUUUCUUUUCUCAAAAUACUGGGCCUAACGGGCUAGUAAUUGAUAUUGUGCUGUAGGGCAUUGAUUAAUGGACUGUUUUGUUUAUUUGGGUUUUAUGUUUAAGUUUGGGCUAUUAGGUUUGGGUUUAAGUUUAGGCCAUUGGGUUUGGUUUUAGGAUAUUUGUAAAUGGACAUUUAUUUAAUUAUUGGGUUUUUUACUAUUAGGUUUGAGGUUAAUGGGCCGGGCAAAUUUGGCCCACUACAGUUGCCCCUCUUUGCUCAUUGUCGUGUAACGAGAAUAGAGCAAAGAUUAUAAAUGGGCCAAUUUUUCCAGGACCUGCUGAGUCUCGAUUUCUUUUGGCGCUUCUUUUCUUCAAGUAACUUCAAUAUGCCCCACUGCAACUUCAAGGAGACUCGGUUCACGUGUUUUUAUCCUGCUCUACUGCAACUUCAGAGAGAUGAGAAUUGUGACUUCGACCUGCUCCACUGCGACUUCAGGGAGACAAGAUCUUGCAAUUUUCGGCCUAUUGCCCUACUACUUAGGGGGUUAAGGCUUGUUUUCUUCGAUCUGCUCUACUGGAGACGAGAUCUGCAAUCUUCGGCCUACUCCGCUACAACCUUAGGGAGCUAGGAUAGUGGCUUGAAUCUUGCUUCACUGCAAUUUUAGGAAGGCUAGAUUCACCGUCUUUGAUCUGCUCUACUGCAACCUCAGGGAGACAAGAUCUAAAAUUUCAGCCUACUCCACUACAACUUUAAGGAGCUAGGUUGGUGGCUUAAAUCUGCUUCACUGCAACUUCAGGAAGCCAAGAUUCGCCAUCUUCGAUCUGCUUCACAGCAACUUCAGGGAAAUAAGAUCUAAAAUUUCAGCCUACUCCACUACAACUUUAGGGAGCUAGGUUGGUGGCUUAAAUCUGCUUCACUGCAACUUCAGGAAGCCAAGAUUCGCCGUCUUCGAUCUGCUUCACUGCAACUUCAGGGAAACAAGAUCUAAAAUUUUAGCCUACUCCACUACAACUUUAGAGAGCUAGGUUGGUGGCUUAAAUCUGCUUCACUGUAACUUCAGGAAGCCAAGAUUCACCGUCUUCGAUCUGCUUCACUACAACUUCAGGGAAACAAGAUCUAUAGGAUUCGCCAAUGUCACUACACUGUCUUCUAAAGACAUGAUUUGUAAAAUUGGUUUCCUGUAUCUGUGUAUGUCAAAUAAUUAGGAUGCUAUGAUCGAGAUGAAUUAAAUGUCUCUAACUAGAUAUGGUGUUUAUGUCAAAUAAUUAGAAUGUUAUGAUCGAAAUGAAUCAAGUGCUCCUAACUAAAUGAAUGAUUAUGAAUGUAGAAAUGUCAUGAGAGUAACUCCUUUUUAAACGCUUAAGCUAUCAUUGCUCAUAGUUCCUCCGGGUUCUAUCAUUGAUGUGCUAUCACGCCCUCUUGCUUAGUCGUUAUCUCUGACAGAAAAUUUGAAGAAAUAGCCAUAAUUUGGACUACUCUUUUUCCAAUGUUUUCCACUUUCGAGUCUGGUUAAUUCUAGAUAGUAGCCCUGUUUCAGGUCCUUGUACUAUUUAGAGAAUUUUCAAAAUAAUAUGCAUAACUUCUUUUAUUUGGAUAUUAUAAGUCCAAAAAAUCGUGAUUUCAACAAAAUGCUCAAAAGAGAUUAUCAUAAUGGACAAGAUAGAAUUCUAUUGAGUAAAACUCGAAGUGAAUACAUUAAACAGGAUAGCAAAUCUACUAAGGCGUAAAACUCAAAGUGAAUACAUUAAACAGGAUAGCAAAUCUAAUAAGGUACAAAAAUAAAAUGAGAAAAGAGGUGCCCUAGAUAUCGCCGCACGAGUUUCACUAUUCUGAUUUCUCAAAGGCUCUUUCGAACUAAAUGUGUGUUCAAGAGAUCCCUCGUAUUUUGUUGAUGCUCCAAGAUGUACCGUUCUUCCCUCUUGUUAAUUUUAGAAGGACAAGACUACUGCAUGCCCUAUACUCAAAAUUUGAGCUGCCCAUUUUUCGGGUUUUCAAAUCAAAAUUCCCUUUGGUCUCAAAGUGCCCUUUGCGGGUUUUCACUCUGGCCUCUCUUUCUUCAGGUAAAAUACUUCUUGACCGAAUCCGAGAGUACAGGAUUGGGAAAGUUUCUACCAUCCAUCUCGGCUAGAAUCAAUGCUCCUUUGGAGAAAGCUUUCUUCACCACGUAAGGCCCCUCCCAAUUAGGCAUCCAUUUUCCUCGAAAAUCCUUCUGCAUGGGAAGGAUCUUUUUCAAAACCAGGUCUCCCUCGUGGAAUUCUCUAGGACGAACCUUUUUGUCAUAUGCUCGCAUUAUUCGGUUUUGGUACAUCUGACCAUGAUGAAUAGGUCUUAGCCUCUUUUCUUCAAUCAAGUUCAAUUAAUCGUAUCGAGAUUGGAUUCAUUCUGCUUCAUCCAAUUUUAACUCUGACAAUAUUCGAAGGGACGGGAUCUCCGCUUCGAUUGGUAAAACCGCUUCCAUUCCGUAGACCAAAGAGAAAGGCGUUGCCCCAGUUGAGGUUCUGACUGAUGUUCGGUAAGCUAAGAGGGCGAAUGGUAACUUUUCAUGCCAAUCUUUGUAGGUCUCAGUCAUCUUCCCUACAAUCUUCUUAAUAUUUUUAUUGGCUGCUUCCACUGCCCCAUUCAUCUUCGGGCGAUAUGGUGACGAGUUAUGAUGUCUGAUCUUAAAUUGACUGUAGACUUCCGCUAUCGUACUGUUGUUCAAGUUUAAUGCGUUAUCAGAUAUGAUCCUCUCCGGCAUUCCAUAUCGACAUAUGAUCUCUUUUUUCAGGAACUUGCUCACUACUGACUUUGUAACACUAGCAUACGAAGCAGCUUUUACCCAUUUGGUGAAGUAGUCGAUAACCAUAAAGAUGAACUGAUGCCCGUUAAAAGCUUUCGGAGAUAUUGGUCUAAUCACAUCCAUACCCCACGUAGAGAAAGGCCAUGAGGAAACCAUGACAUGCAAUGGUGAAGGAGGCACAUGAUUUUUGUCUCCGUAGAUUUGGCACUUAUGGCAUCUUUUGGCGUAAUUGACACAGUCUCCCUCCAUAGUGGACCAAUAAUACCCGAAUCUUAUAAUUUGCCUGGCUAUUGUAAAGCCAUUAGCGUGUGUCCCGCAGACGCCUUCAUAGACUUCUUCCAAGAUUUUCUUAGCCUUUACAGCAUCUACGUAUCUUAAUAGCACUUGAUCAUUUCUUCUUUUGUAUAAGAUCUCCCCAUCUAAGACAUAGUCGAUGGCCAAUCUUCUCAGCGUCCUUUUGUCAUUCUCACUUGCCUGGUCUGGGUUUUCAUGAUUCUUCACGUAUUGCAAUAUAUCGUGAUACCAAGGGUGAUCAUCUUUUUCUUCAUCCUCUUCAAUAUUAUAACAGUGGGCUGGAGUUUCAUAAAUGCUCAUUCGGAUAGGUUUGACAUCUUCUUAUUUGUUCACCUUGAUCAUGGAAGCUAAGGUAGCCAAAGCAUCGGCCAUCUGAUUUUCAUCUCGUGAAAGGUAGCAGAAGGUAAUGUCGUCGAACUCUUUGACCAAUUCAAGGACCAGUUUUCGAUAAUUGAUCAAUUUGGGAUCUCUGGUCUCCCAUUCUCCUUUGAGUUGAUAAAUCACUGGGGCAGAAUCCCCAUACACCUCUAGCACUUUAAUCUUGCAUUCUAUAGUUGCACGGAUACCCAUGAUGCACGCUUCGUAUUCUGCCAUGUUAUUUGUACAAUCAAAAUCCAAUUUACUAGUGAAUGGAUAAUGAUCUCCGUUUGGGGAAACCAAGACUGCCCCGAUUCCAUUACCCACGGCAUUUGAUGCCCCAUCGAAGUUUAGUUUCCAAGAAAGUUCUUCCAGAGCACCUUCUUCAGUGGUAGCAACACACAUCAGGUUUUUGUUCGGGAAAUCAAAGUUCAAAGGCUCGUAGUCUUCCAAAGCUCUACUGGCCAGAAAAUCUGCUAUUGCACUGCCUUUUACCGCUUUCUGGUUUACAUAAAUUAUGUCGAAUUCAGAGAGCAGAAUCUGCCAUAGGGUCAUCCUUCCAUUCAAAGCGGUUGACUCCAUCAUGUACUUUCAGGGGUCGAGUUUUGAAAUGAGUCAAGUAGUAUGAUACAACAUAUACUGCCUCAACCUUCGAGUUGUCCAAAUUAGGGCACAACACAACUUCUCUAUCGGCGGGUACCUUGUCUCACAUUCCGUGAACUUUUUACUAAGAUAGUAAAUAGCUUUUUCUUUCCUUCCUGACUCAUCAUGCUGACCCAGUACGCAUCCAUGGAAUUCUCAAAUACUGCCAAAUAUAAUAUCAAUGGCCUAUCAGGGUCAGGUGGCGUUACCACCGGAGCAUUGGAUAAGUACUGUUUAACCUUAUCGAAAGCCCUUUAGCAUUCUUCAUCCUAUUCACCUGGGUUGUGUUUCUUGAGGAGGCAGAAAACAGGAUCACAUUUCUCGAUUAGUUGUGAAAUGAUCCGAGCGAUGUAAUUUAAUCUUCUUAGAAAGCCUCGAACCUCUUUCUAAGUACGUGGCGGAGAUAGCUCUUGUUUGGCUUUAAUGUUGUCUGGAUCGAUCUCGAUCCUUUUCUCACUAACCAUGAAUCCGAGUAGCUUUCCAGCCUUGGCCCCAAAAGUACAUUUGGCUGGGUUGAGUUUUAGCUGAAACUUCCUCAACUUCAAAAAAAAUUUUCUCAGGACUUGUAUGUGCUCUUUCUCUAUUCGAGAUUUUGCGAUCAUAUCAUCGACAUAAACCUCGAUUUCUUUAUGCAUCAUGUCGUGGAACAGGGUUACCAUGGCUCUUUGAUAAGUUACCCCCGCAUUCUUCAGUCCAAACGGUAUCAUUUUGUAGUAAAAUGUCCCCCACAUGGUUACAAAUGUGGUCUUCUCUAUGUCUUCAGGAUGCACCCUGAUCUGGUUAUAUCCGGAGAAACUGUCCAUGAAUGAAAACAAUGAGUGUCCUGCCGUGUUGUCCACUAGGGUGUCAAUAUGAGGUAGUGGAAAUUAUCCUUCGGGCUGGCUUUAUUCAAAUCUCUGUAGUCCACACACAUUCGCACUUUUCCAUCUUUCUUAGGGACGUAGACGAUGUUGGCUACCCAAUCUGAGUAUUUUACCACCUUCAGGAAUCCAGCGUCGAACUACUUUCGAACCUUUUCUUUUAUUUUUAGCAAGACAUCGGGCCUCAUUCUUUAGAGUUUUUGCUGAACUGGCUUGCAUUCUUCCUUUAUGGGGAGUCUAUGCACCACGAUAUCAGUGUUCAACCCGGGCAUAUCUUGGUAUGACCAUGCGAAGACAUCUUUGAAUUCUUGAAGUACUUCAAUGAGGUCUCGCUUCAUCUCUGUGGUGAUACAUGUUCUGAUCUUCACCUCUUGUCUUUCUCCUAAGCUCACAAUUUCUACUGAUUCUUUGUAAGGUAGUGUAACACCCCUCGCCCGCAUCCGACGUCGGGACGGGGUUCGAGGUGCUACCUGACUUUUACUAACACUUCCAUACUAAACAGGGCCAUGAAAUCUCAAAUAAUUAAAAACUUUUAUUUUCACAUACAAUUUGUCCCAUAUACGGGCUUACGAGGCCCAAAACAUACAUCCGGAGUGGUUCGGGACCCAACCGAGAACUCAUGAAAAACUUAGAAAAUCUCUUGCAUCAAGUCUUCAUACGCCCGUGUGGGUAUAGAGCAUACGCUCGUGUGCUAGGGACACGCCCGUGUCCCAAACCCGUGUCCAAAAACCUGGACAAAUACAAGGCUAUUUUCCAAGCCAUUUUGUCACACUCACAAUAGAUACACGCAUACUUAUACAAUAACAUACAACAUGGCAAAAUUAGGUACUUAAACAUUCCUAACAUGUCAUGAUUAUGGCAAUUUCACAUGCAAUAGAUAUCAUAGAUUUUACUCACAUCUUUACCACAUUCAUACUAUAAUCAUUAUAAACUCAUCACAUAAUACCAUAGCACAUGCAUGCAUGAUUAAAAUAGAUUUACAACCCCAUAAUCAAAAUAGGCCAACACAUAUGAUUAAAGCCAUAUCACAUACUCUAAUAUUUAAACUCCUAUACAUGCCAUAGGCUCAAAGUACUUGAAAUCACUACACCAAUAGCGUUAGCUUGACAGUGUGAUAAUAUCUCUGACGGCCUCCAACCCGAGCUAACUUGGAAACUCUAGAAAACAUGGGAAAGAAGAGGGGGGUAAGCUUUCGCUUAGUAAGUUCAUAUGAAAACAAUAAGCACUUAUUGACUUGUUUUAUCAAUGUUUACAACAUAUUCUCAAGUUCACUACAAGCUGUCUUUUUGAGCAACGGUCACUAAAUUAUUUAUAUCUGGAGCUAAAAAACUCCGAAUUAAGUUCCGUUAAUUUUCCCUGAUACUAGACUUAUUUUCCUUUCUUCCAUAAAAUUUUCAGAAUUUUUGGUUAAGCCAAAUAGUACAGUUUAUUCCUCAAAGUUACCCCUGAUUCACUAUCUGACAGUUCCGACCCUUCUGUACUAAAGUUCAAUUAUCUCAUAGUACAAGACUCGAAUAAUGUUCUCGUAUAUUUCUCUUGAAACUAGACUCAUAUGUCUACUUACUAAGCCAUUUAGUACAGUUUAUUAGUUAAAGUUUCCCCUGUUUCAGGGUAUGACUACUCUGACCCUUGUGCACUACAAACUAAAUUUCUCCCUGUACAGAAUUCCAAUGGCCAUGCCAUUUGUUUUCCUUAAAAAUAGACUCAAUAAGGAAUCCAUGCAUGUAAGUUAUGACUCUUAAUAAUUUUUGUACAAUUUAUGGUGAAUUUCUAAAGUCAGAACAGGGGAUCUCGAAUUCAUUCAGACCCUGUUUCACAAGAAUUCAAAUAUCACACAAUCUGGAAUUCUUUUUCUUCCCCUGUUUCUUUCAUGUGAAAAUAGCUCAUUAAGCUUUAAUCCCAUAUUUUAUUCUGCUCUAGCUCAUUUUCCACUAUUUUUAGUGUAUUUUCAAAGUUACACUACUGCAGUAACUCAAAUCUGUCAAGGCUAAAUUACUCAUUCAUGAUCAUUGUUCACAAAAUUAAUACAACAUCGUUUGUAUAAUCAUCACCGAGACAUUCAUAUCACAUUUUCAUUUACCAUCUUACCAUAUUGUUGUUAUGUCGAGUUUUCAACCCGAGGGUUAAGUACAUACCUGUUCAAAGUAUCCAUUUCACAACAUUUACCAAUACAUCCCUUUCAUCUCGAGUAUUCCUCCAUUUGAAUAGAAUUUUACCCGUUGAACACAUCAGAAUAUAAUUCAGAUACAUGGAAAGUUUGCACAUAAGUGCCACAUAUGGAGCCAAGCUACCAUGUAACCCGCCCAUAAGUGAACUCGGACUCAACUCAACGAGCUCGGGCGUUCGUAUUCAUAAGUGAACUCAGACUCAACUCAACGAGCUCGGAUGCCUAGUUACAUCUCACGAACUCGGACUCAACUCAACGAGUUCGAACAUUCGCAUCCAUAAGUGAACUCGGACUCAACUCAACGAGUUCAGAUGCUCAACCAUCCUAGUUGUAGCGACGUAAAAAAUUUUUUAGUUUCGCUUGGUCGCUAAUUGUGGCGAUUUAUUAAACAUUUGAAAACCAACUUUCGAUUUUAUUAACAAAGGGAGUCGCCACCGAUCCUUUUUUAUAGGUGUGAUCGGACACCUAAUAAAAUUAUUUUAAAACAAAAAGAAGGCCAAAUUUAGGUCUACAUGAAAGUCCAGAGAAAAAUUGGGGUUCGGGAGUCAGUUACGCGUGAGGAAGGUAUUAGCACCCUCGCGACGCCCAAAAUUGGUAUCUCAUAAACAUGUGUUGACUUGAUUUUCAAAAAUACGAGCUCAAUAUUAUAUUUAAUCGUGAUCCGAUUGAAAAAUGAGAAUUUUUAGUUUUCGAUUUUUUUUUAGAAAGGGUGUCCCGUUUUUUAACACAAGCCGACGAAUUUCACCCAACAUAGUGAUGAAAUCGAUGGCUUAAUAUUAAAUCGGUACAUUACCUUAUUUUUGAAAUUAAUUAAAACAUGAGAAAAAAUAUUCCUAAAGUGAGAAAUUAAAAAUAGAUAAAGGACGCAAAAAAAUGAUAUAUUAAUGAAAAAUAUUAACAUGGAAUACUAGAAUAUUAGAAUAACAAUAAUAAUGAUAUUUACAAAAUAAAAACAAAUCAUGUACUAAUAAUAAAAUAGGAAAAAUGAUAUAUUUGGUAAUAAUAAUAUAAAAUAAUAAUAUGUACAUAAAAAUACAUAUAUAUAUAUGCAUAUAAUAAAAGUAUGUAAUAAUAAUAAUAAUAUCUACAAUAAAAGAAAAUAUUAGGAAACGUACAUAAAAAAUAUAUACAUAAAAAAUUUACAACAAUAAUAUAAAAUAAUGAUAUGUGCAAAUAUAUAUACAUAUGUACAUAAAAUAUACACUAAUAUAAUAAUAGUUAUAAUAAUACUAGCAAUAGUAAUAAUUUGUAAUAAUAAUAUAUACACAUUAUGGUAUUUAAAAUAUAUAUAUAUGUAUAUAAUAGUAUUUAAGAAUAUAUACAUAAGAAAUAUAUAACUAAUGGCAUUAAAAAAUAUAUACAUAAUAUAUAUAAAAUACCUAAAAAAAAGAAGGGGGAAAGAAGAGAGAAUGGAGGGGGGAAAGGAAAUCCGGCCAAUGGGGGCCGAUCACCGGUCGAUCGUCGGUCGCCGCCCGUCGUCAGCCAUUGCCGGCCACCGCCCACGGUGGCCGAAAAAGGUAAAAAAAUUUUAACAAUAUAUGUAUAUAUAAAGAAAGAAAAAAAACAACACAAAAAAAAAGAAAAAAAAGAUUCGAAAGAAGAGGAAAAAAGAAAAAGAUGCAACCUUUUUAUUAAUGUUUCUUUUGUGUUCAAAAUUUGAAGGGAUUUUUGUGUUUUUUUUUUUCAAUCUUUGUAAAAUCUCUCCCCCUUUUUACAUGAUUUUUGAAUGGCUUUUUAUAGCCAUCUUUUACAUGAUUUUCUAUUAUUUCCUUUUCUAUUUUGUAGGUGGUGGUAGUAGACAAUGGAUAUCAAAAAUGGGAGGAAAAAUGAGGCAAGUGGGAAAGUGGCUAGGUGGCUAGGGUUUCUUAGUUUUUUUUGGGUUAGGUUUUUCUUUUUUCUUCUUUUUUUUUUCUUUUUGGUUAGGUUUUUUUGGGGGGGGCUUAAUGGGCCUUUGAAUUGGGUUUAAUAUUUGGGUUUUGUAAUGGGUUUGGGUAGAUGUAAAUGGGUCAUGGGUUAAGGGUUUUAGUGGGUUUAGAGGCUUGGUUGGGUUUUGAUGAAAUCGGGCCCGGGCAAUUUGGGCUUCUACAGCUGCCCCUCUUUGCUCAUUGUCGUGCAACGAUAAUAGAGCAAAGACUUUCAAGGAAGACCAAAUUUGCCCGGUCUUGCUAGGUCUUGACUUGCUUUGGAACUCUUUUUGUUUAGUUAGUCCCUUUUUAGUCCACCGCAUCUUGUAGCUUUGGUUCACUCCACUGCAUCUUAUGAUAUACGCCUUGUAGCUUCAAUCUAUUCCAAUGUAACUUCAAGGAUAUGAAAUUUAUGGCUUCGAUCUACUUCACUGUAACUUCAGAAAGGUGAGAUCUACAACUUCAAUCUUCUCUUCUAUCGCUUCAGUGUUUGUGGUCUUUUCUUCUGCGACUUUAGAAAGGCAAGAUCUGAUGCCCCCGAUCAACUCUACUGCAACUUUAAGGAGACAGAAUCUGACGUCUUCAAUCAGCUUCAAUCUUUAUUCUCUACUCGGCAUAUGAUCCUCUCGCAAUAUGAGUUGAUUUUUGAAACUUAUCUUGAAAAGCAGAUUUUGAAAAUACCUCGACAUGUGACUCGAGACUCAACUCACCUCUCGCAGAAAUUAAAAAGCUCAACUCACCUUUCGCAAUAUAAAUUGAAAAAAAUACCACAGUGUGUGAUCUGAAGCUCAACUCACCUCUCGCAAUAUGAGUUGAUUUUUUUUUGAAAGACAGAAAUUGAAAAUACCUCAGCAUGUGAACUGAGGCUCAACUCACCUCUGACAAUAUAAGUUGAGUUUUUUGAAAACAGAAAUUGAAAAUACCUCAACGUUUCUUGAGGCUCAACUCAUUUCUCGCAAUAUGAGUUGAAUUUUGAAAACAGAAAUUGAAAUUACCUCAGCGUGUCCCGAGGCUCAACUCAUCUCUUGCAAUAUGAGUUGAUUUUUUUUUUGACAACAGAAAUUGAAAUUACCUCAGCGUGUCCUGAGGCUCAACUCACCUCUCGUAAUAUGAGUUGAUUUUUUUUAAAAGGCAGAAAUUGAAAAACAGAAAUUGAAAAUACCUCGGCGUGUGACCUAAGGCUCAACCCGCCUCUUGCAAUACGAGUUGAUUUUUUUUUGAAAGACAGAAAUUGAAAAUACCUCAGCAUGUGAACCGAGACUCAACUCACCUCUCGCAAUAUAAGUUGAUUUUUUUUUAAAACAGAAAUUGAAAAUACCUCAAUGUGUCUUAAGGCUCAACUCAUUUCUUGCAAUAUGAGUUGAAUUUUGAAAACAGAAAUUGAAAUUACCUCAACGUGUCUUGAGGCGCAACUCAUUUCUCGCAAUAUGAGUUGAAUUUUGAAAACAGAAAUUGAAAUUACCUCAGCGUGUCCCGAGGCUCAACUCACUUCUCGCAAUAUGAGUUGAAUUUUGAAAAUAGAAAUUGAAAUUACCUCAACGUGUCUUGAGGCUCAACUCAUUUCUCGCAAUAUGAGUUGAAUUUUGAAAACAGAAAUUGAAAUUACCUCAGCGUGUCCCGAGGCUCAACUCACUUCUCGCAAUAUGAGUUUUGAAAACAGAAAUUGAAAUUACCUCAGCGUGUCCCGAGGCUCAACUCACCUCUCGCAAUAUGAGUUGAUUUUUUUGAAAGACAAAAAUUGAAAAUACCUCAGCAUGUCUUGAGGCUCAACUCACUUCUCGCAAUAUGAGUUGAAUUUUGAAAACAGAAAUUGAAAUUACCUCAGCGUGUCCCGAGGCUCGACUCACCUCUCGCAAUAUGAGUUGAUUUUUUUUGAAAGACAAAAAUUGAAAAUACCUCAGCAUGUCUUGAGGCUCAACUCAUUUCUCGCAAUAUGAGUUGAAUUUUGAAAUAAAACAUCAGAAUACCAGAACAUGUCAUCUGGUGGAACUCAUGUGUCUUUUCAGCUAUCAUCACAUCUUCUUGCUCUACUGGAGUACCUGUAUAUGUCAUGCAUGAUGUUAUCAUGAUAUGCAUAUGUUUUUCGUAAAUGAUUUUAUGCCUACAUGAUUAUGCUAUGUAUCUUAGGCAUGUUUGUCGUAUGCCCUUUUUCAUCACUAUUUUCGUGAUGAUCUGUAUUCAUUACUUCGGCUCCUGACUUUCUCUUUAGGCCCUGUACCCGUCCUCAAGUUUCACGAGUAAUCAAUGUUUCUCAAAUAUCACUCUUUUGCCCCUAGUUGAGCUUUGUCCCUGCGUUGAGACUCUUGUACUUAUCAAAUUCUUACCCGGGUAAUGCUUAACAUUUCUUUCGUUUAGAGUAUGUCAUUUCACUAUUUAUCAUGUAAAUGAAUCACAUAAUGAGAUGCGUGAAAAUGGUCAGGUAGAGACAAAAGGAUACCUCACAUUUAUUCAUUUCAAAAGUAGCAAACAAAGAAAGUUAACCAAUGAUAGUAAAAGAGUGUUAUAAAGAGAAAAGGGAUUGCAUUCAACGAAUACAAAUGCUCUAGAUAUUCAAUGCAUGAACUCUUCCACGUUCCUCAAUCAAGAAUCUUUUCGAGCAUGGCUUCUUGUGUAAAAGAUUCUGAGCUUUCAGAAAUGCUUCAAAUACGGUAGUCUCACUAUUUGACCCACCGUUCAAAAUGCCUUGUUCUUUAAGCCCGGGUUUGCUUCAUUAGAAUGCCCUUUCGGGUUUUCAUCCUAAUCUUUUGUGUUUAAUCAAAACGCCCUUUUCGGGUUUUCACCUUGAUCACCCUUUUUUUCUUUUUUUUAUAUGCUCUUUUUGGGUUUUCAUCUUGGAUUCCUUUUUCAAGCAUAAUAUUUCUUUACAGCAUCUGAAUUCACUGGACUCGGUAACUCUUUCCCAUCCAUCUCGGUGAGGAUCAAAGCUCCGCCCGAAAAUGCCUUCUUUACGAUGUAUGGACCUUCCCAAUUUGGCGUCCAUUUUCCUUGAAAAUCUUUUUGUAUUGGGAGAAUCUUCCUCAGCACGAGUUCUCCUUCAUGGAAUUCUCUUGGUCGUACCUUCUUGUCAUGGGCUGCGAUCAUUCUCUUCUGGUACAUCUGUCCAUGGCAAACUGCCUGCAGACGUUUUUCUUCAAUAAGGUUUAACUGGUCAUAUCGAGCUCGAACCCAUUCUGCUUCUUCUAGUUUUGAUUCCAUUAAGACUCGUAGAGAGGGGAUCUCAACUUCGAUGGGUAGCACAGCUUCCAUUCCAUAGACCAGAGAGAAAGGAGUUGCUCCCGUAGAUGUCCGCACAGAUGUACGAUAUGCAUACAAAGCAAAUGGUAGCUUCUCGUGCCAGUCUUUAUAUGUCUCGGUCAUUUUCCCAAUAAUCUUUUUAAUAUUCUUAUUGGCUACUUCAACAACUCCGUUCAUCUUUGGGCGAUAGGGUGAGGAGUUAUGAUGUUUUAUUUGGAAUUGCUCACACACUUCCUUCAUCAUCUUGUUAUUCAGAUUCAUGGCGUUAUCUGAAAUGAUUCUUUCAGGCAAACCAUGUCGACAAAUGAUUUCCUUCUUCAAAAACCUACAAACUGCAGUCUUGGUCACAUUGGCAAACGAAGCGGCUUUUAUCCAUUUUGUGAAGUAAUCAAUGACCAUAAAAAUAAAUCGGUGUCCAUUAGAAGCUUUUGGAGAAAUUGGCCCUAUAACAUCCAUGCCCCACAUAGAAAAAGGCCACGGAGAAGUCAUGACGUGAAGGGGCAAAUGGGCUGCAUGAAUUUUAUCACCAUAAAUUUGACAUUUGUGGCAUUUUCGUGCGAAAUUAAUGUAGUCGCUUUCCAUUGUCAGCCAGUAAUAUCCGAGUCUCAUAAUCUUCUUGGCCAUAGUGAAACCAUUGGCAUGCGUUUCGCAAAUUCCCUCAUGGACCUCUUCAAGUAUUUUUCUGGCUUCAACAUCAUCCACACAUCUCAAAAGCAUCUGAUCUUUUCCUCUUUUGUACAGGAUGUCCCCAUCAAGAACGAAUCCUGCUGCCAUUCUUCUGAUUGUUCUUUUGUCGUUCUCGUUUGCUUGUUCGGGAUAAUUUUGAUUCUUGAUAUAUUCUAAGACAUCAUGGAACCAUAGCCGUCCAUCUGUCUCUUUCUCGAUGCUGAAACAAUGUGCAGGGGCUUCAUAUAUGCUCAUUUGAAGAGGCAUUAUUUCUGUUUCCUAGUUUGCUUUGAACAUUGAAGCCAAAGUGGCCAAGGCAUCAGCCAAUUGGUUUUCUUCUCAUGGGAGGUAAUUAAAAGUUAUUUCUUCAAAUUCUUUAAUCAACUCUGCCACUAGAUCUCUGUAUUUAACCAGUUUUGAGUCUCUCACUUCCCAAUCUCCACGGAUUUGGUAAAUCACCAAGGCUGAGUCUCCGUAUACCUCUAAAACUUCGAUGUUUCGUUCAAUAGCUGCACGGAGUCCCAUGAUACAUGCCUCAUAUUCCACUAUGUUAUUGGUACAGAAGAAAUUCAGCCUGGCAGUGAGUGGGUAAUGAUUCCCUUCUGGCGAUAAUAAGACUGCUCCAAUCCCAUGCCCCAAUGCGUUCGAUGCACCAUCAAAGCUCAUCUUCCAUGACUUCUCUUUUGGUGACUCGUAUUCUUUUUCCGUAAUGCACAUCAAGUCUUCAUCUGGGAAAUCAAAUCUCAAUGGCUCGUAAUCCUCUGUUGUUCGAGUUGCUAAGAAGUCAGCUAUUGCGCUCCCUUUUAUCGACUUCUGACUUACAUAGGCAAUGUCAUAUUCCGAAAGGAGGAUCUGCCACCGUGCCAUUCUUCCUGAUAGUGCCGGCGAUCCAUCAUGUAUUUUAUUGGGUCCAGCUUUGAAAUUAGCCAUGUCGUGUGAUACAACAUAUAUUGUCUGAGUCUCCGAGCUACUUUGCCUCAUAUUCAGUGAACUUUUUACUGAGGUAGUAGAUCGCCUUUUCUUUCUUCCCUGACUCGUCGUGUUGCCCCAGUACGCAACCCAUUGAAUUUUCAAACACGGUCAAAUACAAUAUCAAUGGUCUCCCCGGAGUUGCCGGUACUAGCACUGGGGGACUAGACAAAUAUUGCUUUAUCUUAUCAAAGGGCACCUGACAUUCCUCAUUCCAAUUUCCUGGGUUAUGUUUUCGAAGAAGCCGAAAGAUUGGGUCGCAUUGGUUGGUAAGUUGAGCGAUGAAUCGGGAGAUGUAGUUUAAUCUCCCUAAAAAUCCUUUAACUUCCUUUUGCGUGCGUGGAGGUGGCAACUCUUGAAUGGCUUUUACUUUAUCUGGAUCAACCUCGAUACCUCUUUCACUGACAAUGACGCCUAGCAACUUCCCCGAGGUAGCCUCAAACGUACAUUUGGCUGGAUUAAGCUUUAGCUGAAACUUUCUCAGCCUUUCGAACAACUCCUUGAGGUUCACUACAUGCUCUUCUUCUCCUCGAGAUUUAGCAAUCAUAUCAUCGACGUAGACUUCUAUUUAUUUAUGCAUCAUGUCAUGGAAUAAUGUCACCAUAGCCCUCUGAUAUGUUGCCCCAGCAUUCUUUAACCCAAAAGGCAUUACCUUGUAGUAGAAUGUUCCCCACAUCGUUAUGAAGGUAGUUUUCUCCAUAUCUUCCGGGGCCAUUUUGAUCUGAUUGUACCCCGAGAAUCCAUCCAUGAAGGAAAACAAUGAAUGUUUUGCCGUGUUAUCCACCAACGUAUCAAUGUGUGGUAAAGGAAAAUUAUCUUUAGGACUUGCUCAAUUCAGGUCACGAUAAUCCAUGCACAUUCGUACUUUGCCGUCUUUCUUUGGUACCGGGACUAUGUUAGCCACCCAUUCUGGAUAUUUGGAGGCUUGUAGGAAGCCAGCAUAAAAUUGCUUCUUGACUUCCUCUUUUAUCUUCAACAACAUCUCAGGCCUCAUUCGUCUUAGCUUUUGUUGAAUAGGCUUGCAUUCUGGCUUUAAUAAGAGCUUAUGGACCGCUACAUCUUCAUCCAAUCCUGGCAUGUACUGAUAUGACCAUGCGAAUACAUCUUUGUAUUCGCGAAGCAAAGCAAUCAAAUUAUGCCUGGUGCCCCCUGAAAUAGAAGUCCCAAUCUUCACUUCUUGCCUCCUUUCUUCAGUUCCCAGAUUUAUUGUUUCAACAGAUUCUUGAUGAGGCAAAAUCUGUUUAUCCUCUUGUUCCACCAUUCUUAGCAAAUCAAGAGACGAGACAUAGUCUUCAGCGUUUUCUUCGGCUUCGAAUUCUCCUAAACAAAUAGCCUUCUCAAAAUCGAUUUCAGGACUCGUAACGGGUUUGUUCAUGCUGUUGACAUCUGAGCACCUGAAAGUUGAAUGGAAAAGGGAACUAUAGAGGGGCAUCCAAGUAUUGAAACCAACAAACGAAAUGUUAUGGCAUGGGAUGAGGCAAAUGUAAGGAUUGGCUAUGAAAUGAGAAAAUGAUUAUGAAAUUAGUGAUAAUGUGAAAGAUUAUGAGGAAAUGCAUCUUCAUUGACAUUCAUUUGAAUGAUAAAGAGCGAAUGCAGGCUCUUACAAAAGAAUUCUAUUAUAUCUAAGGACAUAACAGAAUGUUAAUGUUUGAGUAUUACUCUGAAGACUUAUAAACUAUAAGAAGAUCCUCGGCAGUCCAAUUGUUCAACUUGAAACCUAGGGGACAAAGGCGUAUCCUUGAGACGUCUUUACUUGCGUUAGCUUCUUUGUCAAUGACAUUUAUACUGACAUUCUGAAGACCCCUUUCAAUUAAUAACAGCAUGCUUUGUAUAUUAUCCUGUCUGGGGUAUAUCAUUCCUGCAGAUGUAAAUGUUUUUGACAAAUGAGGGUACGUUAUGGGCCCCCAUUCUAUUUCUCGGCCCAAAGUUCUCACAAUCCUUCUCUCCUGAUCCUUCUUCCACUGUUUUCUUCUUUGACGCAUGUCCGGCUGGAACCUCAAACUGUAUCGGGCCUUGUGGUGCACUGGCUUUAGGGCCUUGACUAUUCCUUGCAGGUACCUUCCCAAACCUUUCCUUGCUCGGGCUCCCUUUCCUACAGUCAACUUGACACCCAUCUUGGUAUUUCUCGACAGUUUUGGCUCGGGAAUUUUGUUUCCCUCAGCGAAAAAUGUGGCAUUGACAAAUUCAAGAGAUCGGAAGGAACAUUCCAUAGCAUCUUUACUCACUUCUAUAUAUGGUGCGUCGGCAGAAAUAGAUGCUACAAUGUCUUCUUCUCCCUCGACAGUGACCAAACAGCCAUCCAUGAUGAAUUUCGCCUUUUGAUGAAGGGAUGAUGGGACCGCUCCAGCAGAAUGAAUCCAAGGUCUUCCCACGAGACAAUUGUAUGAUGGUGUAAUGUCCAUGACUUGAAACUCAACAUCGUAUAUAUAGGGACCCACUUCUAAAGGAAUCUCAAUUUUUCCAUAACUUCUCGUCUUGUUCCAUCGAAUGCCCUUACUGUAGAAUGGCAAGGCUUUAGAUAGGACAAAUCCAUCGGAAUCCUGGAAAGUGUGGCUAAAAGCAUAACAUUGAGUGCCGAUCCAUUGUUGAUGAGCACAUUCGGUAUUAUAUAGCCCUUACAACGGGUUGUGAUAUGCAAUGUUUUCACUGAGCCUCUACCAUUGGGCAGUAUUUCAUCAUCAUUAAAAGAAAUAAAAUUAUCCGCAUUCAAGUUGUUCACCCACCUAUCCAGUUUUUCAACGGAUACAUUAUUUGCCACAUAAGCUUGAUUUAACACUUUCAGCAGAGCGUUCCAGUGUGGCUCUGAAUUCAACAGCAAAGAUAAUACCGAGAUUCGCGCUGGCUGCUUAGUCAAUUGUUCUACCACGUUGUACUCACUGUGCUUGAUAAAUUUUAAAAAUUCCUGUGCUUCUUCCUCGUCCACAGGCUUUUUAGCUUCUUGUUCAGGCACAAUUUCAUACUCAGCUUCAGUCACAUGCAUCGGUGCUUUUCCUUUCUGUUUCAAGUCACUGUUCUUUACAGAUUCAACCUCUUUUGAAUAACAUCUUCCGCUACGAGUGAAAUGACCUACUUCCCCAACGCUUCCAGUCAUGGCUUUGGGUUUUUCAUCUUCAGGUGUGACGAUAUUAACGUCAUAUUUCCAUGGUACUGCUUUAUUGUCCUUGUAGGGGAAAGGAGAUGGUACCUCGAUUAUCACUUUUGGUUUCACUGGUUCCUUCUUCGCGUCAUAAUAAAUUAUUAACGGUCGAUCGGCGCUAUACGGACAACCUGACGAUUGAUUGUCGGAGGUACAUACUUCUUUCUCAUUAGCCUCUUCGCCUUUAUAAAAAAUCCCAAUCUCCUUAUUGUCCAUCAUAUUUUGCAGUAAUCUCUUGAACUCUUCGCAGGAUUGAAUAUCGUGCCCCUCAAUACUAUGGAAUUCGCAAAAACUUGGAUCUUUUGUAUUCCUUCCCUCGAAUACUCUGUUAAGAUGACAAAGCGAACCCUUUUCAACUAGCACCUCCCAAAUUUUCUGCAGAGGUGUUCUUAUUUCAGAAACCCGUCUUCUACUUUGUCGUUUGUCCUCCUCUCCUACUGCGCUCACAUUCCUUUGGGCGUGGUUUGGGAAUGGGUUCCUGGAUGUACUGCCAGUGCCAUCAAAUCGCAGAAUACCCGCAUCGAUAAGUCCUUGAACUCUCCUUUUGAAGGCCAGGCAGUUUUUUGUAGAGUGCCCCUGGUUCCCGACAUGGUAUACACAACUAGCAUUUGGAUCGUACCAUUUCGGGUAUGGAGGUUUAAGGGGUGCCAUGUAAUGGGAGAUAUUAAUUGCUUCUCCAGAAGUUUUAGGUACAGUUCCCCGUACGACACAGGAAUAGGGGUGAAUUGCUGUCUCUCGGGAUUGGGCCUUGCUGGUCUUGGUUCAUUUUUAGGUUGGCUUUGAGCGGGUAUAGUGUUUUGUAGGAAUGAGGUGAUGGGUCUUUGGUUGUUCGUGGCGUAAACGAGAUAGGAAGGAGGUGGUGCUUGGUAGUAAGGGUUUUGAGGGGGAUAAUAGAAAUUUGGAGGUGGAUAAUUUCGUGGUCGGGGUUGGUUCGGAUAUGGAUUAGAGGCAUAACGGCUUCCCAUUCCCACCAUGUGGGCUUCUGGUUCUUUCUUCUUCAUAGAUGUUGCCCUUUUUGAACCUUCUGAGCCUUUCAUUCUACCGCUCUUGACGGCAUUCUCUAUGAGCUCACCAGAUAUUACAAUAUCCGCAAACUCUUUCGUGGCACUUCCCACUAAUUUGUCAUAAAAUAGCGCAUUUAAGAUGUUGAUAAAGAGAACGGUUAUCUCCGUUUUUGUUAGUGGGGGUUCCACUUGGGCCGAGACGUCUUUCCAUCUCUGCGCAUACUUUCUGAAGGUUUCUGAUGGCUUUUUCUCCAUCAUUUCCAAGGUCAUCCGGUCUGGAACCAUAUCCGACACAUGCUUGUACUGCUCGCAAAAUACUGACGCCAAGUCCUUCCAGGAUCGCAUCUUUUCUCUACUGAGUUGGUUGUACCACCGAAGAGCUGACCCUGUUAGACUAUCUUGAAAGCAAUGUAUAAGUAGCUUAUCCUCGUUCACAUAACCGGUCAUUUUUCGACAGAACAUGAUGAGAUGUGCUUUUGGGCACCUUGUCCCAUCAUACUUUUCAAAAUCAGGCGCCUUGAAUUUCGGAGGCAAGAUUAGAUCAGGUACCAAACUGAGUUCUUUGGCACCUAGUGCGGAGAAGACUUCAGUGCCUUCUAUUGCUUUGAGUCUUUCCUCUAGACUUCUAUAUUUUGCAUCAUGAUUAUCCAAUUUCAACUUGGCUACCUCUGCUGGGUCGUCCAGAUCUGGAACUAGUGGAUCAGCAGGGCUUGCCCUUGGGUUCGACACGAAUAUUCCUUGCCCCAGAUUAGUGGGUGGAGCAGGUGGCAUAGGUCGUUGUUCCAAGACUGUGAGUUCCCCUUGAGUAUACCCUCUUUGUGUUGUAUAUGCGGGUGGUGGAGUGAAUCCCGGGGGAUAGAGUGGAUCCUGAUCGUGGUGAAUUCUUGACUGAGGUUCCAUAACAUAGGGGUUCUGCACGGGUCCUUUUCCUUUGACCAAAUUUGUCAUCAUCUCCAUCAUUUUGGCCAUCUGAUCUCUUUGCUCCAGUGAUUCCUCUCGAGAUCUCACCAUUAGGUCUCUCGUUUCUUGUUGCGAUUUGGCCAGUUGCUCUUGUAAUUCCUUUUGAGCCCUUUCCAUCCUUUCAAUUCUCUCAUUGAAUUCAGCCUCCAUUACUCUAGCUUGUCGACGCGUUUUAUACGGAUGACGUGGUUCCAGUCUUGUGGUAUUACAACUGUGAAUUAUAUAUUUUAUCUUCAACGACCGAGUAUGGGAUAUGCAAUGUAUGAAUGAAUGCAUGAAUGAAUGCAUGAAUGUCAAAUGAAUGUCAGUCAUGAAUGAAUAUGCAAAAAUUUGGUGUUAAUUUCAAGAUAGCCCCUAUUUAGGCAUUUCCUUAAUCAAAGGAGUAUUACACAACGUUUCGGUCACUCGUAUAAUUGACUCCUCCAUUAGAAACCCGUUUUUGGCAACCAAUCUCUAAUCAACACCUUCCUAACAAGAUGCCUUCGAUGCAUGAUGAAAAAUAAAAAUACAGACAAACGACAUUGGUUAGCGCAACACAUAUAAACAGAGAAAAAUUGUGGAAAAUCUAACAAAUUAAGCUACUGGGUCCAGUGGACUCGAUUCCCUUGCUUAGAAAGCACAAAUGUAAAAGAAAUAGAAGGUAAGAUGUGCUUUUCCCGUGUACUUAUUUCGGUGACUACUAAACGAGCGGAGGUUCGGCAUGGCUCUAGUUGGGUGGCUCGUAUGGUUCACUAUAUGCGAUUUUGGUUCUAGACAGGUACUCGAAUUGCUCAUACUAUCAUCUGCUAAGAUUAGCACGAAGCCUCGGUCAUAACCCAUCACAGGCUCAGGAGUUCAAUUCGAGGGAUUACAUUUACUUAUGCCAUGCGGAGGGACAAGUUAACUCACGAAAGCAUAAGUCAUAUGUAACCCGAAAGUAUUCACUAGCCUGUGCGGAGGGACGAGUUAACUCACGAAGGCAUAGCGUUUACUUUCACUUAAACGGACAGAGCCCGGGUAGAGAGCUUAUGCUAUGCAAAAUGCAAGUGCACGGUGUGUGGGAGAAACUUGCAAUCCUUCCAUUUAUUUUAAAACUACAAAACUAAAACGAAAGAUAAAAACAAAUUAGGAGAUACGUAUGUAUGAUUUUUUCGAAAACAAAACUUAAAGAUCAUGAUUAAAUAUUAAUUUGAACACGGAAAUUUGAAAAUUUUGACAACACGCGUUUAAUUCAACUCGACUCUCAAAAAUGGAGGUCCCCAGUGGAGUCGCCAGCUGUAGCGACGUAAAAAAAUUUUUAGUUUCGCUUGGUCGCUAAUUGUGGCGAUUUAUUAAACAUUUGAAAACUAACUUUCGAUUUUAUUAACAAAGGGAGUCGCCACAGAUCCUUUUUUAUAGGUGUGAUCGGACACCUAAUAAAAUUAUUUUAAAACAAAAAGAAGGCCAAAUUUAGGUCUACAUGAAAGUCCAGAGAAAAAUUGGGGUUCGGGAGUCAGUUACGCGUGAGGAAGGUAUUAACACCCUCGCGACGCCCAAAAUUGGUAUCUCAUAAACAUGUGUUGACUUGAUUUUCAAAAAUACGAGUUCAAUAUAAUAUUUAAUCGUGAUCCGAUUGAAAAAUGAGAAUUUUUAGUUUUCGAUUUUUUUUUUAAAAAGGGUGUCCCGUUUUUUAACACAAGCCGACGAAUUUCACCCAACAUAGCAAUGAAAUCGAUGGCUUAAUAUUAAAUCGGUACAUUGCCUUAUUUUUGAAAUUAAUUAAAACAUGAGAAAAAAUAUUCCGAAAGUGAGAAAUUAAAAAUAGAUAAAGGACGCAAAAAAAUGAUAUCAUUAAUGAAAAAUAUUAACAUGGAAUACUAGAAUAUUAGAAUAACAAUAAUAAUGAUAUUUACAAAAUAAAAACAAAUCAUGUACUAAUAAUAAAAUAGGAAAAAUGAUAUAUUUGGUAAUAAUAAUAUAAAAUAAUAAUAUGUACAUAAAAAUACAUAUAUAUAUAUGAAUAUAAUAAAAGUAUGUAAUAAUAAUAAUAUCUACAAUAAAAGAAAAUAUUAGGAAACGUACAUAAAAAAUAUAUACAUAAAAGUAUAUAAUAAAAGUAUGUAAUAAUAAUAAUGAUUUUUGAAUAGCUUUUUAUAGCCAUCUUUUACAUGAUUUUCUAUUAUUUCUUUUUCUAUUUUGUAGGUGGCGGUGGUAGACAAUGGAUAUCAAAAAUGGGAGGAAAAAUGGGGCAAGUGGGAAAGUGGCUAGGUGGCUAGGGUUUCUUUGUUUUUUUUGGGUUAUGUUUUUCUUUUUUCUUCUUUUUUUUUCUUUUUAGUUAGGUUUUUUUUGGGGGGGGCUUAAUGGGCUUUUGAAUUGGGUUUAAUAUUUGGGUUUUGUAAUGGGUUUGGGUAGAUGUAAAUGGGUCAUGAGUUAAGGGUUUUAGUGGGUUUAGAGGUUUGGUUGGGUUUUGAUGAAAUCGGGCCCGGGCAAUUUGGGCUUCUACACUAGUGACAUGUCACUUGUAUCCUAAUCUAUUCCUAAGGUUCAAACGGGAUUUUCCUCGAACACAUAUCCUUGCCAUCUUCCGUAAAAUACCGAAACCAAUACUCGGUAGCACUUUAUAUUUAACAGAUAAUACACAUAACUUGCAUUUUAUUCGAAAAUAACCACAAAGCAUAUAUUUCAUGAUAAAAAUCAGCAUAUCAUAUAUUUAACAUCAAUAACUUAAAAAUAACAAUUAUGCUACAUUAUUUACACAUGAACUUACCUCGAUACCACAAAGGUGAAAAAAAAACGUAAUUAUCCCUUAAUCGAUUUCUUUCCGUUCUAGGUCCAAAUCUCGAUUUUCAUCAUCUAAAACAUCACAUUCAACUUAUUAAAAUAAUGUACUGAUCAAAUUAGUCCAUUGACACACUUGGGCAAUUUUUACAAUUUUGCCCCUAUAUUUUGCCAAAACUACCAAAUUACCCCUAGGCUCGUAAAAUAAUUUUUAUCACAUUUCUUUACUUCUUGAGUCUAGAUGAACCAUUUUCAUAACUAUAGCAACUCAUAAUUUCAACUAUUUCACACAUUUACAACUCAUUUUACAACUUAGCAAUCUAGCCCUUUUUAAGGUGUUUUCAUGCAAUUUCUUUCACAAAAGUUGUUUAUUAGACAACUAGGACUCAUAAUCUUCCAUAAAAAUACAGUAAACAACACAUUUACUCUCAUGGAAAAACCCUAGACUCUUCAUCAUUUUGCAAAAUAGACCACUCAUGAAAGCUCAUGCUUUAGGGGUUCCAAAAAUGUAAAAAUCAUCAAGCAAUGACAUUAAAAUCACUUACAAGCAAGGGAAAUAUGUUGCUGAAAUUUUUCAGCUUCAAAGCCCUUUCUUUGCUACAUAUUUCGGUGAAGGAUAAGAGAAAAAUGAUAGCUUUUUCUUUUUGAUUUGUUAAUAAUAAAACUAGUCAAAAUUGGUGACCAAAUUUCACCUAAUUUUGACUUUUCAACAAUUUUGUCUCCCAUGGCCGGCCAUCACACUUUAAAUGGAGUAAUUUCACUUUAAAUACCCCCAAUUUAAGAUACAAGACAAUUUAACACCUUUAGGUAUUAAAACACAACUUUUACCCUUUACGCGAUUUAGUCCUUUUUUGAAAUUGGACUAGAAAUUGCUAAAAUUAACUUACCAAAAUUUACAUGCACUUAUAAAAUUAUAUUAUAACACAUAAAAUAAUACUAAAAAUAUUUUCUCUAGCCUCAAAAUAGUGGUCCCAAAACCACUGUUUCGACUAGGCCCAAAAUCAGGCUGUUACAGGUAGGAUUUUUUUUCGUCUCAUUCCACCAUCCUCAACAAAUCAAGAGACAGGUUACAGCCUUGGUCAUCCUCAAAAUCGUGAGAAUCCUCCAUACACACUUCUCGCUCAAAAGGAAAUUCUGAGUCAUUAGCAGUGUCACUCGUAUCAUUGAUAUCUGGGGACCUGUUAUGGGGAUGAAGGCAGAUACAAGGAAUCAAAAGAAUUCAAAAAUAUUUAUCUGUAUGGUAUGAUUAUGAAUGACGAAUGAAAUAAUAUUUAGAAGAAUGUUUAAAGAAUAAAGGAAUCCGAAAAUAAUCGUUUGUAUGUUUGUGAGUGAAAUUUAAAGAAUGAGAGAACAUCUGCUCAAAAUGAUAAUAACCGUGCAUUUUAUUGAAAUAAUGUUUUUAAACAUCAGCCUAUUUCACAAAAGAUUCUUAUUACUCCUAGGCCUAGAGCAAUAAGUGUGUUUUGGACAUUACUUUGAAUCCGUUCUAAAAACUACAGGAAUCUCUUCCGCAGUCCAGUUGUCCAGAACACUUCCAGGUGUGUAGGGGCAAAUGCCCGACAAAUUUUCUCUUCCCGUCUCCUCUUCGUAUGUGGCGUUGAUGUCUAAAUUUUCCAGCCUUUCUUUUAUGGCUCCCUUCAUUGGCGUGCCUCUCUCGGGAUGAAUAAUUCCCCCGGACACAAACGUUUUCGAUAUAUGGGGGAAUAUCAUUGGCUCCUAUUUGAUUUCCCCCCUUCCCUCCCGUUAACCGUGCUCUCCUUCUUUCUUGCUUCUUUUCCAGCUCCUUUCUCCUUUGUCUCGUAUCCGGCCUAAAUCCUAAGUCGAAGCUAUCUCUCUUGUCCUUCAGCAUUGGUGUUUCAAUCCUUCCUUGUAGAUGUCUCCCAAGUCCUCUUCCGGGUAGGGCCCCCUUUCCAAUCGUCAACUGUAGGCUCAUCCUCGUGGUUUUGGACAAUUUUGGCACCAGAAUCUUGCUUCCUUCGGCGAUAAAGGUCGCAUUAACAAAUUCCAAAGAUCGAAAUGAACAUUCGAUUGCUUCAUCAUCCGUCUCCAAAUAAGGCGCAUUAUUGCUCACAGUUGCAAUGAUAUCAUCUUCAGCAUUGAUCGUUAUCAACCUCCCCUCUGAUACCAGCUUUAACUUUUGAUGCAAUGAGGAAGGCACUGCCCCAGCUGAAUGUAUCCAGGGCCUCCCCAAUAAGCAAUUAUAUGAGGGCUUGAUAUCCAUUACUAGGAAAUCCACCUCAUAUGUGUGUGGCCCGAUUUGCAGAGGUACCUCGAUUCUUCCCAUCACCCUUCUCUCUGUACCGUCAAAUGCUUUCACUAUAUUCUGGCACUCCUUCAUGUGAGAGCUGUCUACAGGUAAUCUGUUAAGUGUAGUCAAGGGCAAGACAUUCAAGGCCGAACCAUUGUCAAUCAGUACGCCUGGCAGCGUAUACCCUUUACAGCGCGUGGUGAUAUGCAAAGCUUUAGUCGACCCCAUGCCCCCGGGUGGUAUCUCAUUGUCAUUGAAAAAGAUAUAGUUGUCAGCACUUAUGUUGCUAACCAAACGGUCUAGCUUGUUAACGGAGAUAUCGUUGGCAACAUAUGUCUCAUUCAAGACCUUCAUCAAUGCGCUGCUAUGAACUUUCGAGCUUAGAAGUAAGCCCAGCACCAAGAUGCGAGCCGGUUGUUUACGUAGCUGUUCCACCACACUGUAUUCGCUAUGUUUUAGGAAUUUUAAAAACUCGUUGGCCUCUUCCUCGUUAACUGGCUCGUUAACAGAUUUGGUCAUUUUAUCAUUCAUUUCCUCGACCACUGGGGUUUUUCCUUUUAUGGGUUGUGCCUCCUCAUUUGCUAUAUCGUAACGUCUUCCGUUAUGUGUAUAGGAGCCCCUGUCUUGACCCUCUUUUGAAGCAUCCACCAGGCUUUCCUUUCCCGAAAUUGUCACGUUAUAAUCAUAAUUCCAUGUGACCUUUUUGCUGUCUUUGUAGGGGAAGACUGCAGGUCUUUGGAUUAUGACCUUCAGUGGCAUUUGUACUCCAGCUUCAUUAUUUUUAGGUCUCGAUGUGAUAACCACGGGAUAGUUAGCUGUUUGAUUCUGUGCCGUCGAUUUUCCCUCCGACGCACAUAUAUCUCCCUCUAUGGGGUUCUUAGCUUCUUGAUAAAACUCUAUUUCUUUAUUAUCUAUCAUGUUUUGCACGAGGGCCUUAAAUUCCAUACAAUCUUGGAUUUCAUGCCUCACCUCGUCAUGAAACUCGCAGUAGUUUCUCCCUUCUUCUGAUACUUCCCUUGAAUCCGACACGAUCAACCCUCUCUUAACCAUCUCCUUCCACACCCGUCUCAACGGGGUCCUGACUUCCGCAACCUCACACUUAAUCUUCUUGUUUUUGCCUUCGCUUAUCCCAUUCACCCCUUGGUCGGUAUGAUUAGGGAGAAGAUUUCCUGCUACAUUGGGUACGGUCAAACCUCACGAUCUCCAUCUUAAUGAGUCUUUCGACUACUUUCUUGAACGCAGUGCAAUUUUCGAUUGAGUGCCCGGUAAUUUUCGCAUGGUAUUCACAUUGGGCGUUUGUGUCAUACCAUUUGGGAUACGGGGGCUGCAAUAGCUUCAGGUAAAACGGAGACACCACAUGAGCGUUGAACAGGUUUCGGUAAAGCUCCCUAUACGUCAUGGGUAUAGGAGUAAAUUGUGGCAUUUCUGUGUUCUCCCUCGCGUUGGAUUCUUGUCUUACGGAGCUACGUUAAUUGGUGGCUACCGUCUUUGGCUGAUUUACGGUAAGUGACUUGGACUGACCCUUGUUGAAUGUGCUCGUAUUGUUCACUUCUUAUCUCUUUUCUUCGGGGCCGACUUCCUGGUACUCUCUCCUAAUUCUAUCUUACCGCUUCUAAUAGUAUUUUCGAUCAUUUCCCCUAUCAUCACUAUGUCAGUGAAGCUCUUGGUGGCGCUUCCCAACAUAUGAGUGAUAAAAGGGGCCUUCAAUGUGUUAAUAAAGAGCAUCGUCGUUUCCUUUUCUAGAAGUGGUGGCUGAACUUGUAUGGCCACCUCUCUCCAUCUUUGUGCAUACUGUCUGAAGCUUUCAUUUGAUUUCUUCUCCAUAUUCUGGAGAGUGAUUCUGUCGGGGGUCAUGUCCGUCACAUGAUUGUAUUGCUUCAUAAAUGCCUGAGCCAGGUCCUUCCACAAGUUAAUUUUAGAGCGGCUUAAUUGGUUGUACCACUUAGACGCCACCCCGACCAGGCUAUCUUGAAAGCAGUGGAUUAAUAGUUGGUCAUUGUUAACGUACCCCGUCAUUCGCCUACAGAACAUAGUGAUGUGAGCUUCAGGGCAGCUUGUUCCAUUGUAUUUCUCGAAUUUGGGCAUUUUGAAUUUAGGGGGAAGGACUAAAUCUGGGACUAGACUCAGGUCCUUGGCAUCAAUCCCUUGAUGAUGAUCCGCGCUUUCCAUGGCUUUGAAUUUCUCCUCGAGCCAUCUGCACCGUUCUUCCAAUUGUUUUUUGUGAAUCUAUCCUUGCCUUUUCUUCGUCAGCAACUUCAUCCAAAUCGGGAACGGGCGGAUAGUUCAGGUUGUUGACAAAGUUAAAGCCUGAACCGAUUUGAAAGUUCAUCGGUAUUGAAGCUCUGGCUUGAACCUGCUAGGGCAUGAUUGUGACAGAUGGUUUGGUGGAUUAAUCUCUGGCUUCAGCGGUACUUGUGUCAGAGUGAAGCCAAUGGGGUAUUGAGGAUCUUCAUUAGUUUCUUCAACUUUAUCCAUGGGGCCCUUUCCCUUAUCCGUUCCUCCCAAUAGCAAUUGGGAUAACUGACUCAUCAUUUCCCUUUGGGAUUCCAUCAUUUGUUCCUUCAUCUCUCGCUGAAUCUUGGCUAGCUGCUCUUGCAUCUGAAACUGCAUCUGAAACUACAGUUUUACAGUGAAGCCUCUAAUUUUUCUAUUAUUCUUUUCAUUUCUUCUAUCUUGCUCAAGCUUGCCCUUAAUUCUAUUGCGGUGUUGCGGUUUCGGUACUGAUGCAGAGAUUUCUCGAGUUCUGCCACUCUAGCUCUUAAUUCACCUCGCUCAUUUCUACUUUCCGACAGACUUUUCUCUAAAUCCUUGUUUCGUGCUUGAGCUUCUCAGAAUUUCUUUUCCCACUGGUCGGCAUUGGUUUUUUUUCUCUGAUUUCAUAGCGCCAUUGUUCGGAAGUCUUGCCUAACCCCGCAGUCCUCAUAAAUAGGCGCAGCAUCUUAUAGUCCGUCUUCAAGCUGUCUAGAUCUGCUUCAGCCUUGGUUUUCCCUUUUCUCCACUUUUCAGCCUCUGACCUCUGGACAUCAGCGUCUAAUCUUAAGUGCAUCUUUUGCUCCUCCAAUUGUUCGAUCUUCUUCCCAAGCUCCAAACUCUUCUUCUUGAAAUCUUGCCUUAUAAUCUCCAAUUCUGACGGGGCGACUUGUAAUUGUUCCCCCAUAGGUCAAGCAUUCUCCAAGCUUGGCCUAGAAACGUUAUCAUUAACCCUAUUCUUAAACUAUCCGUCAUACUCGGGUGUUACCAUGGAACCGACGGCCAACCUUUUCAUCCAACAAGUUUACUUCUAAACAUCCGAUAGCUCCCGAACUUUCUUCUUAUAGUGAGCACCUUUAAAAGAGAAUUCACUCUGAGCAAGUCCAUAAGUCGUGGGUACAAACUACCUCGAUUUAUAUUGUCCCAAGGCUAGCAAUAGAGUAUACCUGGUAGCUCCCCAAAUUCCUAACAACGGCACCCAAUCAAAGUUACCGCAUCGGUACAUGAUCUCAUCAGGAACCAUCCAAUAAGCUCUCCACUUGAUAUCCCCCUCCUUGAGGUUUUGAGGAAUUUUCAUCCACUUCUCCUCCGAGAUAUCCUCUGUCCUUUGUAUAGCUGCCUCCUCUUUCAGUGGGGAGUAACCUUCAGAAAAGAUCUGAUAAGAAACCUUGUCUACCUUUCAAAAGUGCCCAUGAAACCAUACUAUCAGUAAUUGUGCACAUCCAAUAAACCGCCAUUCGCCUGUCUUCCGACAUGAGCUCAAAGAUCUGAACGUUUCUGCCAAUAUCACUGGUACUGGUGUAAUUCCCUUCUCAAGGCAUUCAAAUAAGUCAACGACUGCCUCUUCUACGUGCCUCAACAUCUUAGGGAAAAUUACCAAUCCGUAGAUACUUAAUGCGAAGAUAUCGACCCUCUUUCUUUCAUCCGGAUGCGUCAAAAUCAAGUCUCGCAAAUUCUUCCAAGGGAUACAUUUACUAUCUCCUUUUUGCUGAAUCCGAGCAGUGACCCAAGGCUCGCUCAUCCCAGAAAUGCUCAUCAAUUUCUUCACAAAAGUCUGACUACUAAAAACCCGGGCAUAAGUCUUCCGGACCUGAAUUUUUAAACACCUGAGCAGUGUAGUGUAUUCCUCUAUGGUAGGUACUAAAUCCACUUCUCCAAAAGUGAAACACUUGUAAGCAGAAUUCCAAAACUGAACUAUAACCCGGAAUAGAUGCUUGUCCACUCUAAUGUCUAGCAAGUAGGAUAUAUCACCAUAGCUUAGGUAAAAGAACUGCUUGAUCCCUUUAUCCCAACUAGCCCAAAUGUCUCUAAACUCUUGCAGCUCAUUCUGUGCUACAUUGACGCGAGUGAAAUCCUGCAACUCGGAGAUAUAUCCUUCUGCCAAGCUAUCCCCUCUCUCUGAUUGUAGCUUCUCUGACCAUGCACAAACGACCGCAUUAUCCUCGACUUUACUAAGAAAUUCAUUCUCCAUGUCAAACUUUCUAAUUUAAUAAUUGAAUAUAGAUCAACACCUCCUUUAGUAUACAAUGUCAUGCAAAAUACAAUCAAAACAAAACACAGGUUAGUAUCAGAUAAUAGCGGUAAAAUGCAAGCACAUAAAUUACAACGUAUAUAUGGGUAAGUACUAAGGCUCGACGCGGCUCCACCCAAGGAUAGCUCCUAAGGUUCAUUAUAUGUGGUUCGGUUCUAGAGAUAAGGUACCUGAACCAGCGGAUUCCUCAAUCCUCACCCAUUAUAGGCUCAUAUAGAUUGAGUUUGGUUCAGGGGGAUACAUUUCCCUAUGACCAUACGGAGAUGAAAAUCUCACGAAAUCAUAGGUACAGAUGUAUCCCGGAAGCAAUCCAUUAGCCUAUGCGGAGGUGAAAACCUCACGAAAGCGUAGUUUCUUACUCCCACUUAGAAGGUGUGACCACAGCGGUCAUGCAAUGGAAUGUAGUACUAUUCUAUGAGAUCCGAACCAUAACAACCAUACAAACGAAUGCAAUCAUGAUUUUUAAAACAAGUUUUCGAUUUUUGACAGAAGGAUAGCAAAUAAUCGAUUUUAUGGCUAGACUUUCUUAAAGAGUCCCCAGUGGAGUCGCCAAGCUGUCGAAACCACCUUUUUAUUUAAAAUUUUUAUGUUUAAUGAAAAACGAGAAUCGACCUUUUGAAAAUAAAACAUGGAGUCGCCACCGAUCUUUUGUUUUGGUGUGAUCGGAUCACAUAAGAAUUUGGUUAUUUUAAUAAAACAUUUUUGGUUUACUAAAAUGACGAUUUUGGUCUACAAACUUUUGAGAAAAUGGGUUAGGGAGUCGGUUACGCAUGAGUAAGGAUUAGUACCCUCACUACGCCCAAAAUUGGUACCAAAUCGAUUAAAUAUUGUCCUUAUGUCUAAAAUUUAAAGAUGUUUUUUUGAAAUGUGGUUCUUUUUUUUAAGACUUGAGUAACCCGAGUUGGUUGCAAAAAAUCUUCUUGUUUCGACUUCCGAAAGCUUAUAAUCCAAAAAUUACAAAAUGGUGCCCAACUAUUUGGUCCAACGAAAAACCGAAACCCAGCACAGCAGGGCUCGAUUCCUCAAAUUUCCAAACACUGAACAUUGCCUCACCUUAGAAAACACGAGUGCAAUUCCGAAGAGAUAUUCGAUUAUUUUGAACAAACGGGAGAUUGCAACCCAGCACGAUAGGGCACUAUUCCCCGAAUUUCCAAACACCGGACAUUUCUUUCAUUUUAAAGGGUUUUUAGAAAACGUGAGUGAAAUUCUGAAGGAAUCUCCGAUUGUUUUGAACAAACGAAAAUGCGUAACCCAGCACGAUAGGGCACGAUUCUCGAAUCACCAAACAUCUAAGAUCACCUUCAUUUUGGGAGGUUUUUUAAUAAACAUGAGUGAAAACCUAAAGGAAUAUCCGAUUAUUUUGAACAAACGAGAAAUCACAACCCAGCACGAUAGGGUAUGACUCCCGAAUUAUCAAACACCGAGUAUUGCCUUCGUUUUAAAGGAUUUUUAGAAGACAUGAGUGAAAUUUUGGAGGGAUAUUCGAUUAUUUUGAGCAAACGCAAAAUUGCAACCCAGCACGUUAGGGCACGAUUCCGCGAAUUGCCAAAAUAUCAAAUCUCAUCUUCGUUUUAAAGAAUUUUUAAAUGAAUAAUUAUAAAACUAGAUUAAAAUGUAUUAAUGCGUUUUUGAAAUGAGAUGAAUUUAACCAUAAAAAUUUGGGUUUAAAAAAACCACAUUUCAUGAACUAAGUGGAAAACGAUGAUAUGGGGGAAUAUGUGUACGCACCAAAACACGACAACAGAAUAGUGGAGGCAAUACAAUUUACUUAACCAACUAACGAGAACUUAAAUGACUAAGCAUAACUAGUUUGGAAAUAUAACUCAAUUUCAACCAUGCAUGGAGAAUAAUUAACAUGACAAUAUGAAACAAAUGAAUAAAUAAUAUGCAACGAAAACAUACAUGGCAUAAUAAAAAUGAUUACUAUUAGAUGCACAAAACAAAAUGCAGAUCAAAUGAGCAAUAUGGUGUAAAACUAUUUUAAAACAAUGAUAAGUAUAUGACACAUACUAUAUGAAUUGAUGAAUUGAUAAGUAAAAAAAAACUUUUGUUAAUGGCAAGCUUAAUAAACACACGCAAUCAUUAGAAUAUAUAUAUAAUAUAAAAGAAUAAUAAUGAAGAUAUAUGACAAGAUAUAAUACACAAAAUAGAUUUAUAAAACAUAUGUACAUGUAAGUUUAUAAAAAAAAACAUGAGAUUAAUGUAGCGACAUAAAAAAUUUUGCUUUCGGUCGCUAGUUGAGUCGAUUUAUUGAAAAUUUGAAAAACGACUUUCGACUUUAUUAAAAAAAGUGAGUCGCCAUCGAUCCUUUUUCCUAGGUGUGAUCGGACACCUAAUAAAUCCUCUUCAUUUAAAAGGAAAUUCAUUUUUUAAACAAAAAAGAAGGCCGAAUUUAGGUCUACGUCGAAAAUCCAGAGAAAAAUAGGGUUCAAGAGUCGGUUACGCACAAGGAAGGUAUUAGCACCCUCGCGACGCCCAAAAUUGGUAUCUUUAUUAAACACGUGUUGUCUUGAUUUUCAAAAAUACGAAUUCAAUUUGACAUUUAACCGUGAUCUGAUUGAAAAAUGAGAAUUUGAAAUUUUGGUUUUUUAGAAGGACAUCCCAUUUUUAACACGAGCCAAUGAUAUCCACCUAACAUAGCGAUGGAAUCAGCGACUUAAUGUUGAAAUCGGUACGUUGCCUUAUUUAUUUUUGAAAUUAAUUAAAACAUAUAAAAAAAAUACCAUAUGCGAUAGGAAAUUGUAAACAAUGUAAGCGAUGAUACAAUUAAUGAAAAAUAUUAAAAUAUAAUAUUAGCAUAAAAAUAACAAUAAUAUUCACAAUAAGAAAAUAAUGUUCUAAUAAAAUCAUAAAAGAAAUAGAUUUGUGGUAAUGAUAAAAAUAUUAAUAUGGACACGAAAAAUACACACAUAUAUGUAUGUUAAUGAUGAUGGUAAUGAUAAUAAAAAUGACAAAUAUUAUGUAAUAUAUGUAACCAAACUUAUAAUUUAAGUAAAAAUGAUAAAAUAAUAAUGGAAUAAAUAUAGAUAGAUAUUAUAUGAAAUAAAAUAAUGAUACAGGAUAAUAGGAAAUUUCGAGAUUACUUAAAAGUGUGAGCGAAUAAAUAAUGAAAUAAAAUUAAAAUUAAUGUACUAUAUAAAACGCAAAUAUAUAUUAAAAAAAAGCUAUAAUAAUAAUAAUAGUAAUUAUUAAUAAAGUAAUAAUAAUAAAAAUAACAAUAGUAAUAUUAGUGAUAAAAAUAAUAGCUAUAAAAAUAAACAUAAUAAUGAUGACAAUAUAGAACAAUAAUAAUAAUAAUGAAAAUAAAAUAAUAUUAAUAAUAUUUUGUAUUACGAUGGUAAAGUAAUAACAAAGGUGAUAAUGAUAAUAAUAAUUAAUAAGUUAAAUUAAUUAGUAAUAAAGUAAUAAUUAAAUAAACAUGAAAAGGAAAGUGUAUAAAAUAAUAAUAAUAUUAAAAUAAGGUAAUUAAAAAUACUACUAUAUAAAUACAUAUAUAUACAUAUAUAACGAAAACAUUCACUAUAUUAACAAUGAUAAUAAUAAUAAUAGUAAUAAUAUUAAAAUACAAAAAAAUAAUAUAAUAUAAUAAGAAUAAUAAAAAAUACUAUAUAUAAAUAUAUAUACAUAAACAAAAAUAUACACUACUAUAUAAUAAUAAUAAUAAUAAUGAUAAUAAUAUUGAAAUACAAAAAAAAACAAAUAUAAUAAAAAUAUUAAAAUAAAGUAAUAAAAAUAAACCUAUAUGUAAAUAUAUAUACAUAUACAUAUAUACUAAAACAUAUACAAAUAUUGAUAAUAAUAAUGAUAAUAAUAAUAUUGAAACAUAAAAAGCAAAUAUAAUAUUAAUAAAAUAUUAAAAUAAAGUAAAUAAAAAUAAUAUUGAAUAUAAAUAUAUAUAUACGUAUAUAAUAAGAGUAUACACUAAUAUAUAAUAAUAAUAAUAAUAAUGAAAAGUAAUAAUAAUAUAUUAAAUAUGUUAAUUUAAUAUGUAAUGGAAAAUAACAAAAAAAAAGUAAAUUAAACCUACAAUGAAAGUUCAGGGCCAAUUUGUAAAUAAAUAAAGAAUAAAAACGAUCAAAUCGAACGCGCUAGCAAUAAAGAGGGACCAAACCUGAAAAUAAUCCUCCCUCUAAAACGCACAGCAUCGGGUAGGACUCCAUUGAAGUCCAGGCACAAAUUCGGGGCAAGAUUGAAAAAACGAAAAAUACUUGAUUGCAAAACAAUAAAAAUGUGGAAGGGCUAAAAACGCAAUUAGCCCUUCCUUAAAAAAAAGUGCGGAUCCUCAGUGGGCGGGUCGGAUCGGGUCGAUUCAGCCCCAAAACGACGUCGUUUUGGGGCUAUUCAGGACACCCUGAAACGGUGCCGUUUAAAAGGGCUAUAAAAGCAAAAAAUUUUUGAGAAGAAUUCAUUUCUGCUAUCUUUCUUAAAAAAAAACUUGGCUGUUCUCUCAAUCCCUCCCUCUCUCCCUCUAAUCGGACUCAAAGUCCGGCAAGCAAGCCGCCGUAUGUCGCCGCCGGUCACCAUCUCCGGCCACCGUUAAAAGGUAUAUAUUUUUAUCCCUUUUUUUUCUAUUUUCUUUGUAUUUAAUAUAUGUAUACAUAUGAGUAAGCAAAUUCGUAAAUAGAAAAAGAAACAAAAAUAAAUAAAUAGAGAGAAAAUAAUAAUAAUAAGAUAAUAUCACCUUUUGCUUUAGAUUUAGACUCUUGGUAUUUCAACUUCCCGAUUUGGGGUUAUUUUCCUUUUUUUGUGUUACUAAGAUCUUUGCUUUUCUCGUAUUUAAAAUCUAAUCCUUUUUUACCACUGUCGAACGUUUUUUAUACUUGCAUAGAAAAUAAAUUUUGCCGAAUCCUCUUUCUGAUUUCGGCUUGGCCUUUUAAAGCCAUGUUACAUGCAUUUUUUAGUAUUAUCUGUCCCUUCUCCUUUUGAUCUUUGCAUGCGAGUGGGUGGUGCUGACAUGGGCGGUGGAGCAGGUGGGGCAGGUGGUUGGUAUGAGGCGAUGGGAUGUCGGCUGAACUUAGGGGGCUAGGGUUUUUUCUUUUUCUGAUUUUGUUUGGGCUAGGGUUAGGUUAGGCUAUUGGGUUUGGGUCUAGUUGGGUUAAAUUUGUUGGGUUUGGGUAUUGGGUCCUAAUGGGUUGUUGGGUUUGAUUUGGUUUGGGUUCAGUAUUGGGUUUAAUUUUGUUGGGUUUAUUUUUGUAAAAGGCCCGGGCUAAUUUGGGCUUCUACAAUUAAUAAUGAGAUAUAUAUAAAUUUUUAAAAUAGUUUCAUAUAUACAUAAUUAUUAAAACAUAUAUUAUGGAAUAAAUAUUUUUAAUCAAAUAGCAUACAAAAUAUUGAGGAAUAUUAGCUAAAAACUAACAAUUUUCAUAAAAAAUUUAAAAUAUGUACCAAAGAUGAAAAGAUUACAAAAAAAAAUGUAUAAUAAAACAUAAUCUUAGAAACAUAAUGAAUUUACACAUCGCGCAUAUAUAUAUAACAUUAAAAGUAAUUAUUCGUAAAAGCAUGUAAUACAUACAAAAUUAACUUGAUUUUAUUGUAAGUUAUAUGAUAGAUUUAAAAGCAUACCUAUAUAGAAAGAAAACCAUACGCGUAGAAUACGCGAGUUUAAUAAUGUAUAGAUUAAAUGUGGUAUCCACAAUGCAUAUACAUAUAAUGAUAAUAACUUAAAAGAUAUUACAUAGGAUUAUAUGAUGCAAUACGAGAAUAAAUUUAAAAAGGAAUCAUGUGCGUAAAAUAAUAUAAGGUUGAUUAAUAUAUACAUGCAAUAAAAUUAAUUUUGAUACAAAGUAUAUAUAUAUAUAUAUAUUAAUAUUUAAAAGAGAUUGUAUAAGAAAAUUAAAAGAGUUUAAUGCAAAAAGAAAUUCGAAGUGGUUAUUUCAUAAAACAAAACAAAAUCAUGCAUGUACAAAUGUAUAUGUAUACAACAAAUAUAAUAUAUUAAAAAACAAGAUAUUGACAUGAUAAAAAUCUGAAAAUAAAGUAAUAAUAAUAAAAGGAUCAAUAUUCAAUGCGUGAAAACGCAUAGGGACUAAAACUGGCAAUAUACCAGAUACCAAAAUGUUACGUUUAGGCGCGGAUUAGAUUGCAAACAAAUGUAAAUUACAAGGAAAAAAUUAAAAAAAGGAAAAAAAGGAGCAGAUGGGCCGAUUUAAACGCAGUGCAAAAGGGGGGGAUUUAACUUGCAAAUAACCCCUCACCGCGAUGACGAGCGGAUCUUGAGAGUCAAAGAACCGGAUCGGGUCGGGCAGAAAGGGGGUGGCCUAGACGAUGUCGUUUGAGACCAUUGUUAUUGGUCUAAACGGUGUCGUUUCUACUACCAUAGAAAGGCUAAACCAUGCCUUCAUUCAGCCGAAACCCUAGAGUAACCCUGGCCUUUCUUUUUUUCCUUAGCCGAACCCUAAGUCACCGCCCUAAACCAACGAUUCCCAUCCCCCCAGGCACGAACCGCUCACCCAAGCCCGGAGGAUGAUUUUUAGCCUCAAAAUCUCCUCUUGGCCUCGACUUUAACAAAGCAGAAGGAGAUCUACGGCAUACCCCCGGUAAGGUUUCGUUUCUUGUUUCUUUUUUCUUUUAUGCACUCAAAACUCGAAAGAACGACUGAAGAUUUAGAAAUAAAUGAACUGGGCCAAGGAUAAAAGAAAAGCCUCAGAGAUUGGAAUCGGAAUCACCUUCGAAUGCUCGUUGCUUUUUUUGUAUAUUGCCUUUGUUUUUCGUUUUCUAUUGCUUCUGUAUGCGUAAAAAAUGGGAACCGAAUGUUCAAAAAAGAAAUAAAAGAAUACAAUUUUUGUUCUUUUUUCGUAUUGGCCAUUGUUGCUGCUGUCAUUUUGUCUGUUUCUUUGCAGGUACGGAGUGUGCAUUGGUGCUCGAGUACGGGGCUGUGCGUUGGCAUCGUACGGAGACUGUGCUGGCGCGGGCGUGGCUGCUAGACGGUACGGAGCAUACGACGCUGGGCUGGGGCUCGUCUGUGGUUGCGGCGCGAAAGUGAGGAGGAAGCUCUAGGGUUUCUUUUCUCAAAACACUGGGCCUAAUGGGCUAGUAAUUGAUAUUGGGCUGUAGGGCAUUGAUUAAUGACUGUUUUGUUUAUUUGGGUUUUAUGUUUAAGUUUGGGCUAUUGGGUUUGGGUUUAAGUUUGGGCCAUUGGGUUUGGUUUUAGGAUAUCUGUAAAUGGACAUUUAUUUAAUUAUUGGGUUUUUUACUAUUUGGUUUGAGGUUAAUGGGCCGGGCAAAUUUGGCCACUACAUUAUUAAUAGAUUUUAAAUUUUUUAUUUAUGAAUUUAAUAAAAUGUUAUAAUUUUUACUGAAAUGAAAUAUAUUAAAAAUAUUGUAAUAAAGUUCAUAUUUUGAUUUAUUUGUGAAAAUUAAAAAACUCAUCAAGUUUAUAUAAAAAUGUAAUUUUUAUUUUAAACAAACGAUAGAAUCAUUUUGUUGCACCAAAGUGCCUAUGUGCUGGGUCGGAUACCACACAAAAUUUUCCUAAAGCUCUUGCCCAAGAGUUAUUUAGGAUGAUGGGCUUUGAUUGAACUGUUAGCCCAAAAGGUUAUAUUAAUAUAUAUAUUAUAAUUAAAUUUAAAUAUUUUUUUAUUUUAAAUGUACGUACCAUUAUACUGAAACUCACAAUAAUAAUAAAUGUAAAUUAAAUUAGUCAUUUAACUACUAACUUUUUAUAAAUAAUGAUUUCGAUUUACAUGUCAAUCUAAGUCAUGCAAAAUGUCUAACGUACCAGCUUAUAUAACCAAAGAAAAGAGUUUAAUUUGUAGGGUAAGGGACACCAUUAAUCAAUAAAUUAUUAAUACAUUUUUAUUUUGGUCAUUGAACUACUUAAAAGUUUUCAUUUAAGUCAAAUUAGAAUGUUAAAAUAAAUGUUACAUGGCUUUUUUAGUUCGCAUUGUCUGCACUAAUCGAAAGCUCUUUUUUCUCAUUCUCUUCUACAAUUCAGUUUUUUUUUAUGAAACAAUUUUGGAUGUCACAAAUUUACGAACCAAAUUUUAAACAACUUUUCUCUCUGAUAUCCUACAUUGAUAUUCACACUGACUUGGAUCUAAAGUAUGUUCUUUUACUCGUCAAUGGAUACUAGUCCACAGUACUAAUCGUCGAAUCGUUGCUUGAAACUCAUUGGUGGAACUUUUAAAAAAAAAACUUAAUAACCUCGUGAUUUAAAUAAAAACUUUUGAAUAGUUUAGUAGCUUAAAUGAAAACUUUAAAAUAAUUCAAUAAUCAAAUUAUAAUUUUUUAAUUAAAUGACCAAAACAAAAAUUUACCCAUAAUUUAAUGACUAAUGGUGCAAUCUACACUAAUUUGUAUCACUAAAUUAUUUUAAGGGAUCGUGAGGUGUGGUGUGACAAUACUUGUUACAGAUAGGCAAAGUUUUCAUCAAAAUUUGAAAGAAACCUAGUGCACUAGUUAUAUAAGCUUUAGGGUAAAUUACAUCAAUUGUCUCUAAUCUUUGAUUAAAAUUAUAUUAUAGUCACUUAAUUUUUAAAAGUUAUAUAAUUGUCACUAAAAUUAUCGAAAUGUUACAUUUUAGCCAUUCAUCCGUUAAGAAGAUGAUAUGGCACAUUAAUUUAAAGGGUUUGUCCCUGAACAAUAAUUAAAAUAUCAAUUUGAUACUUUUAAAAUUUUUCUUAAUAAUAAUUCUAAAAAAUUAAAGGGUAAAUUACACAGAUAGUCACUUAAGUUUUAAUGCAUUCCUAUUUUGGUUACCAGAUUCUUUUUUGUUAAUUUAGUCACUUCCAUUAGAUUAAUUGUCAUUUUUAGUUACUCCAUCGUUAAAAUACAUUGGUACUGAACGGAAUGUUGAUGUGGCAAUCUUUUGAUUGGUGUAAUAACAAAUUUAACCCUUAACACUUUACACAUUCUAUCUACUUGGUCCUAUGUUGAAAAAAAUCAACAAAUUUAACUCAAUGUUUACACAUUUUUAUCAAUUUAGUCCAAAUUCAAAAAAUCCAAAAAUUUUAUAAUUUUAAAAACUUAAAAAAUAUAUAUAAUUUAUUAUAAAAAGACAUAAAACUAAAAAAUAAUUAAAAAUAUAUAUAAAAUUACUUGGUUAGGUUUUGAUGGUAGAUGAAAUAAUUUAUACUUUUCUUUGGCUGAUGCAAACUUGGUUUAUACCAAUGGGGGAAUAGGCUCCGCAAGUGAUGCUCACUGAUCAAAACAAUGCCAUAAAAGUAGUUGUAGUUGCUGUGUUUCCUGCUACACGACAUUUUUUCUGUGUUAUGGCAUGUCUUGGGUGACUAUUUAAGUAAUUUACCUUUUUUAGAAUUAUUAUUAAGAAAAAGUUUAAAAGUAUCAAUUUGAUAUUAUAGUUAUAGUUUAGGGGCUAAAUUGGUUAUUAAACCUUCAAAUUAACAUGUUUUGUCAUUAUCUUAAUGAAAGUUAACGGAUGAGUGACUAAAAUGUAAUAUUUCAAUAACUUCAGUGACAAUUAACUUUUCAAAGUUGGAUAAUUAAAAUAUAAUUUUAAUCAAAUGUUAGUGAUAAUUGAUGCAGUUUACUCUAAAUUUAUAUAUAUAUAAGCACCAUAUUAAUAGAGUUUAAUAAAUAUUCUUUUCGUAUAAUCAAAACCGGAUUAGAUUAGAUUAAUCAAUGGUUGAAUAGGUUACAUAUAUUCGGAAAUAAUGAAAAUUGUUUUGAACUGAAAAUUUGAGAGUUGAUAUGGGAUAUUGAGAUGAGGAGAAAAAGGAAGUUAUAUUUGUAUAAGAAAAAGUUUGAAAGUAUUCAAUCAUUUUUGUGAAAUAAUAUUGAACAAAUUUAUUAAUAAAAUUUGAACAUUCAUAAUGUUUUCUCAAAAUUACAAACUUCAUCACCAGACUAGCGUCGAUUUCUUGUGAAAAAGGGAUUAAUUAAAAAGUCAACAUGCUUCCUUUUAAUGAAAUCUUAAAAGAAUGAAUUAAUCAAACAGUAAAUUGUUGACCAAUAUUUUCCGGGAAGUAGCUUUCAGAUGCUUAAAAAGUAACAGUGUAUUUUACAAUAUUAUCAGGCUACAUGGCCUCACUUUGUAUUGAAUAUAUAUUAUAAACGAAAGCAAAGAACAAAAAUACAAAAUAAAUAAAGAAAAUUACUUAGUGCUUUAACUUAUUACAAAGGGAUUUGUCUCCUUAGUAUGUUUCUACCAUGGGAGAUCCCCACUUUUAUCCCAAAUAUCAGGUUAUCAUUACGUUGCCUUGGAGACAUCCUUACUUGACCUAUUGUACUUCAUAUGGCUCCUAACUAGUUGUCCUGCUGAAAUUGCAGACAUAAGCGACAGCUCCCCCGCAAGAACAGCAGACGCUACAAUGGUUGCCAGCGUCCUAGAGUUUGCUCCUGGUGUCUCUUUGCUUGCACCCUUCACUCCAAGUAAGUUCAAACAGGCUGAUUGAGAUGCAAGCUGAGUUCCACCACCAACAGUCCCAACCUAAAAGAUACAGCAACACAGAUAAUUAGGGACUAACAUAAAUACCCAGAUUUUGUUUUGGCAACGGAAGUCCUUGUGUUGGACAAUCAGACAGCAACACUAUCAAUUACCUCGAUGGAAGGCAUUGUGACAGAGACGUGGAGGUCCUUGCCAUCAUUAACAGCUUCCAUCAUCGUGAUGCAAUGCGAGCUCUCGACGUUUUGAGCCGGAUCUUGGCCGGUAGCUAUGUAGAUUGCAGCAACGAUGUUACUGGCGUGAGCGUUAAAUCCACCCAGAGCUCCAGCCAUAGCUGAUCCAGUAAG